rnacentral:lncRNA from 1 species
AAUGGCCUCUAUUGAUUUCUUCCUUGGCAUUUUUGCUCAUAGCCACUACUGCCACGGCUGCUUAUGAGCCUUACAUUUAUGCCUCACCACCUCCACCGCCUUACUAUUACAAGUCACCACCACCACCAGAAUAUUCUCCACCACCACCUUACUACUACAAAUCUCCACCACCACCUGAGAAGUCUCCCCCGCCACCUUACUACUAUCACUCACCACCUCCUCCUAAGAAGUCACCCCCACCACCUUACUACUAUAAGUCUCCGCCUCCGCCGAAGGAAUAUCCCCCACCACCUUACUACUACAAGUCUCCGCCACCACCGGAGAAGUAUACCCCGCCACCUUACUACUACAAGUCUCCGCCCCCACCCGAGAAGUAUACCCCGCCACCUUACUACUACAAGUCACCGCCCCCUCCGCCACCUUACUACUACAAGUCUCCGCCACCACCGGAGAAGUAUACCCCGCCACCUUACUACUACAAGUCACCGCCCCCACCCGAGAAGUAUACCCCGCCACCUUACUACUACAAGUCACCGCCCCCACCGGAGAAGUAUCCCCCUCCACCUUACUACUACAAGUCACCGCCCCCACCGGAGAAGUAUCCCCCUCCACCUUACUACUACAAGUCACCGCCCCCACCAGAGAAGUAUCCCCCUCCACCUUACUACUACAAGUCACCGCCCCCACCAGAGAAGUAUCCCCCUCCACCUUACUACUACAAGUCACCGCCCCCACCAGAGAAGUAUCCCCCUCCACCUUACUACUACAAGUCACCACCGCCACCAGAGAAGUAUCCCCCUCCACCUUACUACUACAAGUCACCACCGCCACCACCUUAUUAUUAGAAGUCUCCUCCACCUCCCUCUCCAUCUCCACCCCCUCCAUACUACUAUAAGUCGCCACCUCCUCCUUCUCCAUCUCCACCCCCACCGUACUAAUAUUUGUCUCCUCCACCUCCUAAAGGCUACUAAAUAUACAAUGUGUUGUUGAAACAUGUGUGAUCUUAGUUAUGUAAGAAUAAGUGUAAGUUUGUAAGCUUGUUCUAUUUCUGAUUUUUUCUUCAUCAAUGUUUUUGUGAAUAAAAGGAUUUGAGAUGGUAAAUCCAUUUGUAAGAAGUGCUGCUCAUUUUCGUUGUAAAAGUUAUUGUAAGCAAUAAGAUCUCGUAAUUUAAGGUUUCAUAAAAGUUAUAUGUGCAACUACUUUCAAUUUCCAUUGUCAUCUUUUUCACAACCACCAAGCGUAUUACUUCUUUAUAGAUGGAAAAUGCAGAGGCAAGCUUAUUAUUCUUUAAUAUUACCAUUCUUGAUGUGUUUGUUUAUUUAGUUGAAACGGUAAAUAAAAUGUACAUGAAGUACCGCACUGCAUCCAAAUUAAAUUUAGGAUAUAGACUAAGUUCAUGUAAUCUCAAUUUUGUCACAUUAUUAUUGGAUUUUAUAUAAAUAGCUAAUUUCUUUUCCUUCCGAAUUUCGACGGGAAGGAGAAUUUAUUAAGUAAUACAGAGAAGUGCACCUAGUAAUAUUUAAAGAGGAUAUAAUGAGCACUACCUUUCAUGAUGAUAAUGCCCAUGAACAAGUAAGAGAAGCUUAGAGUUUUAUUCCUACUCAAAUCAGAUUCUACGGAGGAGUUAUAUUCGUACCUUUUUAACGCUUUACAUAUAUGAUUAGAGAAUUAUGAGGACAUAAAUUCCGCUAUAAAUUUGUUGUUAUAUUUAGAGGAGUUUACAUGACUGGAGAAUUAUACACACAUAAAUUCUUUGAUGUCCAUUUUAAAUUAUAUUCCAAAAGGGAAAAUGUUUUCCGUUUAUGGUUUAAAAAUAGAAGCUUUGUGCUUUUUUUUUUUAAAAAAAAAAUCUAGAUCAUUCAGUGAAUAUUGGUUGUUAAUUUACUGCCAAAAUACUCGUAAGUUUAUUUAUUUAUUCUGUAAUGCAACUUUUGGGAUACAUAAUAAUCAUAUAAAUAAAUAAACUAUAUUGUAAUAUAUUUCAAUUAACUUGUUGACUUGUAUGAAAAGAGCGUGUCAUUACCUUUUAUGCCUAAUUAAAUUUACAAUUUUAGUCCCUAUGAUUUUUUUUUUUCAAUCAUUAAUUCCAUGCUCUUAUGAGUAGAAACAUAUGUAGAAUUUUGAUAUUUAAGAGUUGGUGGAGUUUCUAUGAUAUUUUGUACCUGUGGCUCAUCAUUUCACCACGGUGGGCAACUUCAUGGAUUUUGUCCUCUAAAAGGUAGCACUCUAACUUAAGAUGCCAUGUUCUUCAGAAAGUUAUCAAAUAGUUGAAUAGUUAUAUUAAGUUUAUUAUUGAUAAGAAUCUUAAUUAACUAGAUAUAGUACUUAAUAUACAAUGUUUUAUUCGUGAAAUUGUUGAACUAUUUUCACCAUUUUUCAAUGUCAUUUUCAGGAUGAGCUAUCAUUUGGAAUUUCAUUUUCUAUGGACUCUCACUUUUUCCCAUAACCACUUUUUUUGUUUAUAUUUUAUCAGAUUAAUUAUUCCUUGUUUGUUUAGAAGGAGCUUUCAUAUUGGAGAAAUACAUUACGUAUCUUAUAAAUCUAUGCAUCUUUACCUUUUUUUUUCCCAAAAUAAUUAAAAAAAAAAAAACCUCACCAAUGACCAAUCCAAUGUUCAAUAUGAAAAGUUUGAAGAAAAAAUGGUGUGAACUAAAACAAAAUAUAUAAUUUUGUCACAAUCCAAGAAAAAAAAAUCAUUAUAAAAUAUAAUUAAGAGGUAGCCACCUUCUCUACAUCAAUUUGUCACAAAACUAUAUCAGUGAGAUAUAUGCAAGACUCACCCAUUGGUACAAAAGAAAAUGAUCAAAGUGGAAGCAAAAAUGUGGUGAUAAUUUAGAUGAUCUCCACUCCCCAUUUAGUUUCAUUUAUUAAGUUAAUGUUUAAUCAAGAGUCUAAUUACUCAUUUUAUUAUGUUAUUAAUCAACUGCCGCCCCUUCCACUGGUUCAUUAUUUUUUAUGGAAUACAAAAAACAGACAAUAAUAUUCUUUGACAUAGCUAGGAAUAUAGCCCACUUGCAAGAGACUUACAUUCCAUCGCUCCCUAAUUUCCCGUGUAACAUCUUAUCUUGCAUCACAUCAGAGACGUGUUCGUUUGCACAGCCAUUUCGUGAAUAUAAAAUUGCUGCCGAAUAAGCAUCUAAUCAAAAGAAUUUGUCAACGGUAUAAAUUAAAAUAUAAAAAACGAGUAAAAGAAUUUGUCAAUAGGAUAUGGGAGGCCAUGGCUUCAAUCGGUUUGUGCAAUGGUCAAUGGCAUAUUUUUGCUCAUCGUCACCACUGAAUCCACUGAUCAUUUGUGCAUGUGAGUUGUUUUUGAGCAUUUAUUUUUCCCUUUAGAAGCAUAAGGAUAAGGCUAGUCUUCUUUUUGGGAGGACUUAUUGCUUCCAUUCGUUAAAAUUGGGCAUGUAAAAUGUCAAGAAAAAAUGGCCUAAGUGGCUAGCUAGAUGAUAUAAUGGAUGGUUACUACUCAAACCUAGCAAUAAAUGAAUGUCCGACAAGCAUUCAAAUGAAUGAAUAAAACCAAUCAGAUUAGAAUAUCUAUUUAUGAUAGAUUAAUGAAAAUACGAUUCAAAUAUAAGGUAAAUAAUCUCUCCAUUAAUUUUUUAUUGUUUCAGGCAGGGUUGCCAAGCCUCUGUCCGGGCUUCUAUAAGCUCAAUUCCAGCUCUCCUAUAUGAUUGAAUUAGAUCGGGCUAGGCCCUCGGACUUUUUAAUUAAAAAAGGUCGAUUUUUAAGUUUAUGAAGUUAAUACACUCACGCUUAUACUUUAAUAUUUUUAUUAUUUGGCUUUUAGAAUAUUAACGUGUAAAUUACUUUUUUUUUUCAAGUGAAAUAAUUAUCACAUUUUGUCUUCUUAGUAUAUAUUUCUACCUUUUUGUUCCUAUAGAUAUUUCCUCAUUUCAUCUUUGGUACUAGAGCGUAGUAAAAAAACACAUGAUUAAAGAUAAAUAUGACAUUUUAACUAACAAAUUAAUUAUUUGUAUCUAAGAUCUAGCUCUAGUGGUAAAGAUCAAUUUUCAUCGAAUUCAAGUCUUGGGUUUGAAUUUAAAUGCAUGGGUAAGUUAAUAAUAAUAAUAAUAAUAAUAAUAAUAAUAAUAAUAUCAAAUUAACUAGCUUUAAUUUGCAAAGGUCUUAGAUAAUCAAUUCGCUUGUAAAAAUAUCAAAAUUUUUUUUAAUCAAUGAAAUUUUCAAGUCUCUAGUUUUAGCACAAGGAAUGAAUUAAAAGAGUAAUGAUAAAUAUUUUACAAUUUUAUCCCAAAUGAUAAGACAUGUCAUGUGUCAUGUAUUAAGUGAUUGAUGAUUUUUUUAUAAAUUUUAAGUGGAUGAAAUAUAUUAUUUCACCAACCAGUAAAUGAAUAUGACAUCAUUUGAGAAGGAAUUUUAUGGUACAAUUUUGAAAUAUUUAUCACUACUCAAUUAUAUACAGUAUAAAAAAUCUAAUAGGGACCAAAAAUAUAAAAACAGAUUAAGAAUAAAAAAUAUAAAAGUCAAUUCCUAAUUAGGAGAAUGAAAGUGUCAUUCCCCUGUAAUCAUUUCACUAGAUAUUAUGUAAAUAUAUUAAGGCAAAAUUUUAAUAGAAAAUUGGUACCCAAACCUAACGUCUUUGACAUUGCUGCCAAGAUCACUCACAACUUACAAGAAUAAAAAAUUGGUAUUAAAUUUAUUAAUGUUCUCAAGGAAUUUUUAGCUUGACUUUACAUUUCUCGGACCCAUUUGUCACAUAACACCUUAGUUCGUUAACAAAGCCCUUUCAUGAGAAUAUUAGAACUGCUGUCGAAUAAGCAUCUUAACAACCCCUUUUUGACAUACAUGCAUGCCUCCUUCUGUGAACAAUUUGAAACAUAAAAUAAAAUUUCAAUCGAUGUGAGGGUUGGAGUAUUUUAUAGCUUUUGACCUCAUUAAUUAUGAGUAAGAGAAUAUUUCUACGUCACUAAUGGUUAAAAUGAUCACUAUAUAAAGGGUAGCAAAGUAUGUUUAACAUCAAGUCAGAAAACACAAUUUUUAGGAAAUGGGAACUCGGGGACAAGCGAGGCAAUGGCCUCAAUUGUUUUGUGCUAUAGCAUUUUUGCUUAUAACCACCACCACCAAGGCAUCGGCUGAUGAUUAUGCCUCAGCACCACCACCAAAGUAUUCUUCUCCACCUCCUUACUACUACAAAUCACCACCUCCUCCUUCUCCCUCUCCACCUCCACCAUAUUAUUACAAGUCUCCCCCACCACCAUCUCCGUCUCCUCCACCACCUUACUACUACAAGUCACCACCACCACCAGUGCAUUCUCCCCCGCCACCUUAUUACUACAAAUCUCCGCCGCCACCAAAGUAUUCUCCCCCGCCACCUUAUUACUACAAAUCUCCACCGCCACCAAAGCAUUCUCCCCCACCACCUUACUACUACAAAUCUCCACCGCCACCAAAGCAUUCUCCUCCACCACCUUACUACUACAAAUCUCCACCACCACCAAAACACACCUUACUAUUAUAAAUCACCACCUCCACCAAUGAAGUCUCCACCUCCGCCAUAUUACUAUAAAUCACCACCACCACCAAAGCAUUCUCCCCCGCCACCUUACUACUACAAGUCUCCACCACCACCAAAACAUUCCCCACCACCACCUUACUACUAUAAGUCACCGCCUCCACCAGUAAAGUCUCCACCACCGCCCCCAAAGCAUUCUCCCCCACCACCUUAUUAUUACAAAUCACCACCUCCACCAGUGAAGUCUCCACCUCCGCCACCUUACUAUAAAUCACCACCACCUCCAAAGCAUUCUCCCCCUCCACCUUACUAUUAUAAAUCACCACCUCCACCAAUGAAGUCUCCACCUCCGCCAUAUUACUAUAAAUCACCACCACCACCAAAGCAUUCUCCCCCGCCACCUUACUAUUAUAGAUCUCCACCACCACCAAAGCAUUCUCCCCCACCACCUUACUACUAUAAGUCACCACCUCCACCGAAGAAAUCCCCACCUCCACCAUAUUAUUAUAAGUCGCCACCACCACCAAAGCAUUCUCCCCCACCUCCUUAUUAUUACAAAUCUCCACCACCACCAAAGUAUUCUCCACCACCACCUUACUAAUACAAAUCUCCACCAACGCUAUCUCUAUCCCCACCUCCAUCUUACAUUUAUAAAUUCCCACCUCCACCAUCUAUAUCACCUCCACCACCACCUCCAUCACUGUCACUAUUGCCUCGCUACUGUUCCAAGUCAUCACCACCUCCUGAAGACUACUAAGUUCAAUGUUCCGUCUUCAAACAAAUUUAAAAUUCAAUAAGAAUAAAUUUGUUCCUUCAGUUGCCUUUUUCAUGAAUUUUUAUGUUAAUGUUUUUACGAAUAAUUUUUAAGAAGCGUUCGGUGUAUCAUUGUCAUGUGCAAUAAAAAUUUUCUAACUUAAUGUACCCAAAAAAAAAUGUUCCACAAGAAAUAUUCUAUUGUUUUAUCACAAAUGUGUUGUGGCACAUGUAAUGCGCCUAGAUAAAGUAAUAUUAUGUCUUGAUGAACAAUCAUGCACAACAAUGAUCAUGUACAUAGUUCUUCCAAUGUCAUGAUAAUGUCCAUGCACAUAAUAACAAACUUCUUCCUUGUAAUAUCAAAGAAAAUGAAUAUACAAGCCUCUUAUUCUCUAAUCAUUCACUCAAACAACAUUGUUUUAAUUUAGGUUUUGAUCAAUCUUAAUGCUCAUAAAUGCUAACUACAAAUCAUAUACAAGAUCAACAAAAACCAUAUUUUAAAUGAAUUAGAAAAACAAACAUUAGACUUAACCAAGUAGUUAACCUUUAUUAUUCUCCUAGGUAGAUUACAAGCUAUCACUGAAAAAAAAAAUCAUCUAAAAUGGUGAACAAAUGCGCUCUAAAUCAGUUGCAUUCAUUUGUUCAGCUAAGCAAUAAAAUAACCCUUUUCCAUUUUAACUUAUAUACUUUGGCAUGGUAACUUUAAAUAACACCCUCAACUUGACAAAUUUUAAUAACCAAAGCGAUCAAUAACUGUAAAUCUUGACAAAAUUUUUUACUUUAGUUAAAGCCAUAAACAUAGUAUUAAAUAAAAUGAAAAAAAAGGCCAUAAACAUAGUGUUGAAAUACCUUUAUACUUGUGAACUAACUUUUGAUGUUGAUUAAGCUCAUGUACCCUCAACUUUUGUAUUAUGAAUAUGCUUAUGCCCUAUCUUAGGUCUCCUCUAUGAACUCCUCCAUGAACCACUUUUUUUUUUUUUUUUAAAAAAUAAAUUCAUUAUGAUACUAAGGUAUAAGCAGAAGUAAAAUUCCUUUAAUAUUAUUGUAAUCAGGAUGUGGCUACCUAGGUGAUACAUGAAUUGGUUAUUUGUACAUUUUACUACAUUUUUUUGAGUUUGCUUGCUAUUUUUCUCUUUGUUCCAAUAAUUCCCACACGAGGAUAAUCUCAUUUUAACAAAGAAAGAUACUACUGAAAUACAACAAAACAUAAAUUCUAAUAUACUAGAAAAUUUUUUUUUCUUUGCCUUUUCAUAUCUUAGAGUUAUGUUUUUAUCCUCUUGUAGUGGCAUAUAUGCAUUUUAACUAGAAUAUUCUUAUUUGAGAAUUAUUAAUAAGAGAGUGGUAGACAAAUGAUACAAAACUAUGCUGCUUCACGAUUAACAACACAUUCAAUCGAGUAACGAUAGAGAGUCAAUUCUAACACCACGAGAAAGCAAACAAAAGUUGAAAUAUUUUAGCGAAUACCUUUUAAAGUUUGAAUUAAUAAUAAAAUUGUCCCAAAAAACUGCCUUAAUGGAAUUAAUGUGGAGAUUUAGUGGUAGGGUGCAUCAAUAUCAUUUUCCAGAAAAAAAAUAGUCAAAAUAUGAAAGGUUUGUUCUGCAGGUGGUUGAUAUUGCUGUACAUUAAUAUCAAUGAUACGUACCAAAUUCUAUUAUAAAAUUCAUUAAUGUAUAAGUAGAAUAUUUAAUAAAUUAAUUCCGGGUAAAACGUCGGUGAUAUGAACAGUAGCGAAGCUGCAACCGGGUUAGCUUUUUUUUUUAAUAAAAAAAUAGUUAAUUAUAAUUUAUGAAUUUGCCUUUAUUAAUACUUAAAAAAAUAAAAAUAAAUUUAAUAGCCCACCCCGAUGCUAGCUAAGCUAAAAAUAAAAUAUAUCGAAUAAAUGGUGAAGAGAAAGCUGUAAUAAUUAUCGUAAUUACAGUGAGAAGCUGUAAUUUUCUUGAACACGCUUUGACGUACGAUUAGCAAAAAAGUCGUCUGUCUAUAAGCAAUUGGCCGUACAGCAUCUUAACUAUUCCGUUGACAUUGUAAUUAAUUAAUUGAUGACUUUUCUAUAAUUUCUUUGAACCAAAUGCAGAUAUUUAGUGGGCAACCCGCAACCCUUGCUUGGCAAAAUAUAGGAAAGAAAAACUUGAAAUUUAUAAAUGUUACAUUUUGUUUGGAUGAAUAAUUUUGAGAUAAUGUUUCAGUUUUAGAUUUUGUUACCGAUACCUAAUUAUAAUAAUAAAAAAUAUUGCAUCAUUUUUUUACCAACAGUUACAAUACAUUUUAUUUUUUUUUCUUCUCAAUAUUUAAACUCGAAUAAUCAGUUAAAAGUUGCUCGAGAAUGUUUAAAAGCCAUUUAAGUAUACCACGUCAUUCAUGUUUUGCAAUCAUUCAAUUGUUAAUAAGUUUCCCAUGUGCUGAAAAUAAAUAAAAAUGCACGUGCAUAUGUCAUAUUGUCUCCGAAACCUCACAGCGGAAUGAGUGUAGUACUUGCAAUGCAUGUACUUUAGACUUUGUAUUUCUCUUAUUUAAAUGAUCAAUAAUUUUUCUUUGUCCUUUAAUUAGACGUCAACAGUCGAAGUUGUGGGCAAGUAGUAGGCUAUAUAUAAUAAUUUCCUGGAGAUCUUCCGUCUUCUAAGACAUUGCAAAUGCCAAACGUGAUAACUAUUUUGAUAAUUCAAAUACUACAUAAAAUAUAUGAAGUGUCAGACAAGUCAAAAGAAUUGAUUCUUCACAAUUGUAUAUACGUAUACACACACUUUGCCCAAAUCCCAUUGUAUCCAGGCUGUAAUUUUUAUAUUAAACGAACAUAUUUUAUUUUAUGUCAGCAAUAUUGAUGCAGGCUGGUGGAACAACAGCUUCAGGAUGGUCAACUACCCUUCGGAUCAUUGCAAGUGGGAUGGCAUCACUUGCAAUUCAGAUGGAACCAUAAUCGGGCUAAAAUUAUCAGGGUAUGAUGUUGACUUCAAAAGGUAGUCUUCGUAAAAUUAUCAUGGUAUAAUAUACGUAUUUAUUUUCGCAUACAUAAAUAAAUAACAAAAUUGUAAUUAAUUGGAUACAACUUCAGCUUUUGGACUGGUUUGUGAAAAUCGGAAAAAUUUAAAAAUGCUCCUCUUGAACAAUCAAAAUCUACUUUAUACGUGAACAAAGGGGAUGAUUCGUAAAGAUAAUUCAUCAAUGUUUGAUUACUUUCAGAAAGAUAGACUUCAUUUGAUCUCGUCCCAAAGCAUAAUUUCACUUUGAAUUUGAAAAAGAAUAAUGAAGUUCAUACGAUGCUGUUGUGACCUUUUUUUUUUGUUUUCUUUUUUUCUCGACGUUGUUUUGUGAAUCAUAAGGGUUAAUUUAGUACGGUGGGUUCGCUUGUAUGAAGCGUACUUAUUGUACCAUUCUGUUGCAAGUAAUGAAAAAACGCUAUAAUUUUUUUUAGGUUUCUACAAGUAUUAUGUUAUCUUAUAUCUAACUGUGCAUCUCUAUUCUUUGCUCUCAGUUCAGGUUCUCUAAAAGUAUAUUAAUUAUGAAAAGCAUUAAAGGUUCCGAAACUCUAUUUUGCGGGGAAAAAGAACCUCCAUUUUUGGUUUUUUAUUAUCAUAAGAGGUUUUACUAUGCUCGUAAUAACUUAAUCGAAAUUAAACAUAUCACUGGUCUACAUUUUUUUAUCAGAUUUUGUGCCUUGCUAAUUAAGAUGAGUAUCACCAUCAAAUCAACAAGCUUAUACCUUCAAAGAAAAAUAGACUAUAAGUCGGGAGAAAGAAGAAGAAAAAAAAAAAGAAGCUUCGCAAUUUAUGCUGUUGGUUGUGAGUUCAUGAAACAAAUAAAAAUAUGAAAUCAAACAUUUAUUCAAAAUUUAAAAUUAAAAAAAAAACUCUAUAUCUACAGUAAUCUGUUCAAACCACAUAGGUGGAGCAAUAUAGUUCCAAGACGUGGUUUUAAAACAUGUCUUUGUGAUAAACAAUAUCGUGAUACUUGCGCCAAUUCCCAUGGCAAUAAUUGCCUACAUUUAUCCAAGAUCCAUGGCCAGGUUUAGAAUGUGCUAGUCUUCUUUCACUUUCAUAAAUAACCACUACUAGGUAAUCAGAGUGUCGGUCUAAAUUUUUCGGAGAUACAACGUCAAUGUAUGUGCCCGGAGUUGAAGCUGAACGCGCUUAAAUAUGUUCGGAAUUUGAAGUUGAACGCCUGGAAAAGGAUGCAGACUGAAGAAAGGCAAUUCCUGGAAUUUGUCUUUGGUAAGAAAACAUGGCUGCUUAUGCCCUUUGAAAGACUGAAGAAACCAAAUUGAUUAUUGCUGCAAUUUAGUGGCACAUGUACGAGGAGAGGCAUCCAAUUAAACUUGUUCAUAAAAGUAUUGCUGAUAGUUGCAGCCGAUCUCCAGACAAAAUCUUCGUACAAUUUUAUCCGCCAGCAAUUUCGACCAAGAGACCUUGAUGCAGUUCAGACCAAUUCGCCAGUUGAACAUCAAGUUGCCUAGGCAUUGAGAAUUAGGUCAAUAAAAUAUAUCCUGGGUCACUUACAAAAGAUGAAAUAAGUGAAAAAGGAAAGAUGACGUAAUAAUUUCUUAGUGAGAAAAGUUAGUUAAUUUUCAAUUGCUUUCAUUGUUUUGAUAAUUUUCAAAACAUUUCAUUGCUUUCAUUGCGUAAUUAAGCUUUUUUUGCUUCAAAAUAUUUCAAAUUGUGUUUGUGGGACUACUAAACAAUUAGGACACAACAAUGUUUCGUUCUGGUCUUUUUUUUUUUUUACUUUUUAAUUUAUUUUAAGAAAAUCUUUGUCCAUCUCUCAUCCUGCCAAAUAUAUCGUCUCGUCUUGUUAUCUAGAAUAAUUCUUCAUGCAUCAAUGAGUUUUGACAAAUUUUUAUCUUUUAAAAGUUGUUGUAAUUCAAUAUAGCUAAAAUCUUAAAUACAUACAUGUAGAAUAAUCUAAGCAUUACCUUAUUCGGGGAAAAUCGAGAUUAGAAUCAAUCAAAGCAAUGAUACCUUAUAUCAGUGAGAUAUAUGCAAGACUCACCCAUUGGUACAAACGAAAAUGAUCAAAGUGGAAGCAAAAAUGGAAUCCUCAAAUGUGGUGAUAAUUUAGAUGAUCUCCACUCUCCAUUUGGUUUCAUCUAAUAAGUUAGUGUUUAAUUAAGAAUUUAUUACUCAUUUUAUUAUGAUAUUAAUCAACUGCCGUCCCUUCCAUUAGUUCAUUAUUUUUGAUGGAUUACGAAAGACAGACAAUAAAAUUCUCCAAAACUGUUGUAAGAGUAAUAUUGUAAAAGUUACAUAAAAGUGAGGAUAAGGAUAAUUUGAGGUAUGUUUCAAGAUAUAAAGAUUAAAUAAAUUCUUAACUCAAAAUAAAGAGAUUUAUUUUUUUUAAAAGAGAUUAAAAUGUCAUGAUAAAUAAAUAAGGGAGGUGAUAUUCUGGGCUCUCCCCUGGCUUUUUGUGAUAACAUCUUAAAUUAAUAUAAAUAGUUAAAAUUUUAUUAAAAAAUAAAUUUUUACCUAAUACUCUUUGACAUAGCUAGGAAUAUAGCCUACUUGCAAGAGACUUACAUUCGUUUGCACAGCCCUUUCGUGAAUAUAAAAUUGCUGCCGAAUAAGCAUCUAAUUAAAAGAAUUAGGAAUUUGUCAACGGUAUAAAUUAAAUAUAAAAAACGAGUAAAAGAAUUUGUCAAUGGGAUAUGGGGGGCUAUGGCUUCAAUCGUAGGGGUGGGCAAAUUUCGGAUUCCGAAUCCGAUCGGAUUUUGGAUAAUUCGGAUUGGGAAAAAAUCCAUCCAAAUUCAAUCCGAACCUUAAAUCUGUUUCGAUCCGAGAUAAUUUCGGAUCCGGAUCAGAUUCGGAUGAGUUUGAAUUUCAGAUUAUAUUUCAAGUUCGGAUUAUAUUUUGGAUUCGGAUUAAUUCGGGUUUGGGACCUUUUUACAAUUCUCACAAAAAAAUUAUGAAAUUUAUAAUUAAUGAAAAAUAAUUUCCAUGAUGCUGUCAACAAUAAUUAAUAUUUUGAAAACGCAAUAACGGAAUUUUCAAAAAAAAGAAAAAGAAAACACAGGAACGGUAUUGAUAAAGAAUUUUCAUUAGCCAUUUGUGACUGCUAACUAAAUUGUAACAACUAAGUAAAAUAUAAUAAUAAUAAUAAUACAUGCGGGUAUAUUCAAAGCAACUAAAUCACUUGCGAAUGAUCAAGACAAAUCGUAUAAACAAGUAAAAAAUUCAAAGUUUCAAACGCAAAUCGUCGGGGGCUAUCGGAUUAGUGGAUUACCAUUAACAAGACGAGGUUUAUGUCGGUGUGAGUUGCUCAUUGUGGGUCUGGAUGAUGUCGCGAUGGCUGGGUUUGUGCCAACUAUGAUCCAGCUAGGUUUGUAUCGAAUCUGAUCUCGUCUAGAGGACGUUGUGGCGGCUGGGUUUGUGUCGAAUUCAUUCGGUUUGUCUCGUCGGCGACAUGGUUGUUGGUUGGCUCGUCAGGUUGUGGCCCGUGGGUGUGGUGUGGUUUGUUGUCGUGGAUUGACUUAUCAAAGGGCGUGCGACGAUGGUGUGUGGUUUUGUCAUUUGGAAAUUGAGUUUUGAUUUUUCAUUUUCGUUUUUUUAAAAAAAAAUUUUUGGAUUAUUCGGAUUGAACUGAAUCUUAUCCGAUCCAAAUCAAAUCCGAUCAGAUUACAAAAAUUUCAUCCGAUUGGAUUUUAAAGCAAAUCCAAAUCCGAUCCGAACAAAUUCGGAUCGAAUUGGAUUAGAUCGGAUCUAUCCGAAUCUGAUCCAAUGUCCACCCCUAUUCAAUCGGUUUCUGCAAUGGUUAAUGGCAUAUUUUUGCUCAUCGUCACCACUGCAUUCACUAAUCAUUUGUGCACGUGAAUUGUUUUUGAGCAUUUAUUUUGCCUUCGUUAAAAUUGGGCAUGUAAAAAUUUCAUGAAAAAUGGCCAAAGUGGCUGGCUAGGUGAUAUAAUGGAUGGUUACAACUCAAACCUAGCAAUAAAUGAAUGUCCGACAAGCAUUCAAAUGAAUGUAUAAAACCAAUGAGAUUAGAAUAUCUAUUUAUAAUAGACUAAUUAAAAUACGAUUCAAAUAUAAGGUAAAUAGUCUCUCUAUUAAUUUUUUAUUGUUUCAGGUAGGGUUGUCGAGCCUUUGUCCGGGCUUCUGUAAGCCCAUUUCCAGCCCUCUUAUAUGAUUGGAUUAGAUCAGGCUCGGCCCACCAGGCCGGGCUAAAUCUUGAGCUCUUUUUAAAUAAAAAAAAGUUGAAUUUUAAGUUUUUGAAGUUAAUAUAUAUACACACACACUUGUACUUAAAUAAUUUAUAAAUUUUUUAAAAGCCAAAUAAUAAAAAUAUUGACAUGUAAAAGUACAAUUUUUUUUUCAUGUGGAAUAAUUAUCUCAUUUCUACCUUUUUGGUCCUAUAGAUAUUUCCUCAUUUCAUCUUUGGUAUUAGAGCAGUAGUAAAAAGACACACGAUUAAAGAUAAAUGUGACAUUUUUACCGACAAAUUAACUAUUUGGAUCUAAGAUCUAGCUCUAAUGGUAAAGACUAGUUUUUAUAGAAUUCAGGUCCUGGGUUUGACUUCCAAUUGCGUGGGUAAGCUAAUAAUAAUAAUAAUAAUAAUAACAAAUUAACUAGUUUUAAUUUGCAAAGGUCUUAGAUAAUCAAUUCGUUUGUAAAAACAUCAAAUUUAUUUUCAGUAAUGAAAUUUUCAAGUCACUGGUUUUAGCACUAGGAAUGAAUUAAAUAGAGUAAUGAUAAACAUCUUAAAAUUUUAUCCCAAAUGAUAUGACAUGUAAUGUGUCAUUUAUUAAGUGGUUGGUGAUUUUUCAUAAAUUUUAAGUCGAUUAAUUAUAUUAUUUCACCAACCAAUAAAUGAACAUCACAUCAUUUGAGAAUGAAUUUUAAGGUAAAAUUUUAGAUAUAUAUCAUUACUCAAUUAUUUUUUAUAGUAUAAAAUCUAAUAGGGACCAAAAAUAUAAAAACCAAUUAAGAAAAAAAAAGUCAAUUCCUAAUUAGAAGAAUGAAAGUGUCAUUCUCCUAUAAUCAUUUCUCAAGUUUUUAUAUAAAUUUAUUAAUGCAAAAUUUUAAAAGAAAAUCGGUACCUAAAACUAACGCCUUUGACAAUGCUGCCAAUAUCACUCACAACUUACAAGAAUAAAGAAUUUGUAUUAAAUUUAUUAAUGUUCUCAAAGAAUUUUUAGUUUUGACUUUACAUUCUCAGACCCAUUUGUCACAUAACAUCUUAGCUGAUUAACAAAGCCCUUUCGUGAGAAUAUUAAAACUGCUCUCGAAUAAGCAUCUUAACAACCCCGUUUUUGACAUACAUGCAUGCCUCCUCAUGUCAGCAAAUUUGAAACAUAAAAGAUAAUUUCAAUCGAUGUGAGAGUUGGGAGUAUUUUAUAGCUUUUGACCUCAUUAAUUAUGAGUAAGAGAAUAUUUCUACGUCACUAAUGAUUAAAAUGAUCACUAUAUAUAUAAAGGGUAGCAAAGUAUGUUUAACAUCAAGUCAGAAAACACAAUUUUUAGGAAAUGGGAACUCGGGGACAGGCGAGGCAAUGGCCUCAAUUGUUUUGUGCUAUAGCAUUUUUGCUUAUAGCCACCACGACCAAGGCAUCGGCUGAUGAUUAUGCCUCAGCACCACCACCAAAGUAUUCUUCUCCACCUCUUUACUACUACAAAUCACCACCUCCUCCUUCUCCCUCUCCACCUCCACCAUAUUAUUACAAGUCUCCCCCACCACCAUCUCCGUCUCCUCCACCACCUUACUACUACACGUCACCACCGCCACCAGUGCAUUCUCCCCCGCCACCUUACUACUACAAGUCACCACCGCCACCAGUGCAUUCUCCUCCGCCACCUUACUACUACAAAUCUCCGCCGCCACCAAAGCAUUCUCCCCCGCCACCUUACUACUAUAAGUCACCACCACCACCAGUGCAUUCUCCCCCGCCACCUUAUUACUACAAAUCUCCGCCGCCACCAAAGUAUUCUCCCCCGCCACCUUAUUAUUACAAAUCUCCGCCGCCACCAAAGCAUUCUCCUCCACCACCUUACUACUACAAAUCUCCACCACCACCAAACCAUUCUCCCCCACCACCUUACUACUAUAAGUCACCACCACCACCAAAGCAUUCUCCCCCACCUCCUUAUUACUACAAAUCUCCACCACCACCAAUGUAUUCUCCACCACCACCUUACUAAUACAAAUCUCCGCCAUCGCCAUCUCUAUCCCCGCCUCCAUCUUACAUUUAUAAAUUCCCACAACCAUCAUCUAUACCACCUCCACCAUGACCUCUAUCACGGUCAUUAUUGCUUCCUUACUACUCCAAGUCACCGCCAACUCCUUUAUCUCCACCUUCACCGUAUUACUACAAUCACCCCCACCUCCCAAAGACUACUACGUUCAGUAUCCCUUCUUGAAACAAGUUUAAAAUUCAAUAAGAAUAAAUUUGUUCCUUUGGUUGCCUUUUUUUUUAAUUUUUUACUAAGUUCAAUGCCCCUUCUUGAAACAAGUUUCAAAUUCAAUAAGAAUAAAUUUGUUCCUUUGGUUGCCUUUUUAUGCUUUUUUGUGUCAAUUUUUUUACAAAUAAUUUGUAAGAAGCGUUCAGUGCAUCAUUUGUCAUGUGCAAUAAAAAUCUUCUAACUUAAUGUAUCCCCAAAAAAAAAAAAAAAAAUUGUUCUAUAAGAAUUAUUCUAUUGUUUUAUCACAAAUGUGUUGUGGCGCAUAUAAUGCUCCCGGAUGAAGUAAUAUUAUGUCUUGAUGAACAAUCAUGCACAACAAUGAUCAUGUACAUAGUUCUUCCAACGUCAUGAUAAUGUCCAUGCACAUAAUAACAAACUUCUUCCUCAUAAUAUCAAAGAAAAUGAAGAUACAAGCCUCUUAUUCUUUAGUCAUUCACUCAAACAACAUUGUUUUAACUUAGGUUUUGAUCAAUCUUAAUGCUAAUAAAUGCUAACUACAUAUCAAAUACAAGAUCAACAAAAACCAGAUUUUAAAUUAAUCAGAAAAACAAACACUAGACUUAACCAAGCAGUUAAGCUUUAUUAUUCUCCCUCAGUAAAGGAUACAAAGAUGUAGGUGGAUUACAAGCUAUCACUGAAAAAAUAGAAAUCAUCUAAAAUGGUGAACAAAUGAGCUCUAAAUCUGUUGCACUCAUUUGUUCAACUAAGCAAUGAAAUUACCCUUUUCUAUUUUAACUGCUUGUCUACUUUAACACGGCAACUUUAAAUAACAACCUUCAACUUGAAAAAUUUGAGUAACCAGAGCCAUCAAUAACGGUAAAUCUUGACAAAAAUUUUAGUUUAAUUAAGGCCAUAAACAUAAUAUUAAAUAAUAAAAAAAAAAGGCCAUAAACAUAGUGUUGAAAUACCAUUAUACCUGUGAACGAACUUUUGAUGGUUAUUAAACUCAUGAACCCUCAAUUUUUGUAUUAUGAAUAUGCUCAUGGCCUAUCUUAGGUCUCCUCUAUGAACCACUUUUUUUUUAAAAAAAUUAUAUUCAUUAUGAUACUAAGGUAUAAGUAGAAGUAAAGUUCUUUUAAUAUUUUUGUAACCAGGAUGUGACAACCUAGGUGAUACGUGAAUUGGUUAUUUGCACAUUUUGCUACAUUUUUGUGAGUUUGCUUGCUGGUUUUCUCUUUGUUCCAACAAUUCACACAUAGGAUAAUCUCAUUUUAACAAAGAAAGAUACCACUAAAAUACAACAAAACAUGAUCAAUUCUAAUAUACUAGAAAACUUUUUUUUUUUGUUUGCCUUUUCAUAUAUUAGAGUUGUGUUUUUGUUAUCUUAUAGUGGCAUCUAUGCAGUUUAACUAAAUGAGAAUAUUCUCAUUUGAGAAUUAUUAAUAAGAGAGUAGUAGACAAAUGAUACCCAACUAUACUGCUUCACUAUUAACAACACAUCCAAUUGAGUAAUGAUAGAGAGUCAAUUCUAUCACCAAAUGAAAGCAAACAAAAGCUGAAAUAUUUUAGUGAAUAUCUUUAAAGUUUGAAUUAAUAAUAAAAUUGUCCCAAAAAACUGUCUUAAUGGAACUAAUGUGCGAUUUAUUUGUAGGGUGAAUAAAUAUCAUUUUCCAGAAAAAAAUAUAGUCAAAAUAUGGAAAGCUUGUUCUGCAAGUGGUUGAUAUUGAUGUACAUUAAUGUCAAAGAUACAUUAAGUGCAUGCCAAAUUCUAUUAUAAAAUUUAUAAAUGUAUAAGUAGAAGAUUUUAUAAAUUAAUUCCUGUAAAACGUCGGUUAUAUGAAUAAAUGGUGAAGAGAAAGCUGUAAUAAUUAUCGUAAUUACAAUUUUCUUGAGCACGCUUUGACGUACGAUUAACAAAAAAGGUCUGUAUAUGAGCAAUCGGCCGUACAUUAUCUUAACCACCUGAUUUUGUUUUUUUUUUUUGUAAUUUCAAUCUUGGCCGUUGGAGUCAAUGAAAAGAUCGUUCAAAUGGUAGAGAUUUGUCUAUUUGAUUAUUAACAUUAUGCUUCCCGAUGGUUAUCAAAAACCCAAACAAAUUAAAGAGUUAAAACUUUUAGCACAUAAGUCCGAAUUGUUUCAAAUUUAUGUUGUUUAAUCACUAGUGAGUCUCAAAAAAUAAAUUUAUUUUAAUAUUAUAUAUUUUAUUUAAAAGAAUUAAUUUUUUAUAUCAUUUAUUUUAUUAAAAAUAAAUAUUAUUGAAUACUAAUUAUUCUCAUUUUAUUUAAUAUUAUUUAGUUAUAGGCUUAUUAUUAUAUUUAAUUGUUCAAAAAACUAAAAAAAUUUAAAUAAAAUAAAGUAAUUGAUGGUUGUCGAAGCCAACAAAAAUAAAUUCCUACUCUAAAUAAAUUGUGUAUAGUGAUUGAGCAGGGUCGUGUCCACAGAGAUCGGUAAUUAUUUAAAUCCUUUUGAAACGUAAAACGUAAAAUGGGGGAAUUGUUGACAAUAAUAAAAAUCAAAUUAAAAUAACAAGAAUGCAAAUUAAAGUUGUAAUUCAAAUUGGAGAAAGCUCUGGUUGAAGGAAUUAACUCAGCUUGAUUCGACUACUGAUCAUUGAUUCAAAUAUAGAUUAUUAUUACUCAUGAAUAGACCGGUUAUAGCUACUGAGACCCUCUAAUAGCCAAUCUCUCCUUAACUAGUCGAUAACCAAGGUACGACCGUUGGAUAUUCCCUAAUCAAUAGACAACCCUAGAUACGAUCAUAGAAUUUAAUCAAUUGACAGCCUGAAAAACCAGAAAGACCCAAAUCCUAAUCAACACAUAUGAUGAUUCAUUUAAAUUAAAUUGUUUAUUCUCACAACACAACUCUCUGCUAUGUCAUUUGUCACAAACAUUAAAUUCUUCAUACGAUGAAUCCCUUAAUUGACAAUAGAUUAAGUUGAUAAUUAAAUAGUGGCCAACUGCUGUACGGCCAAGGCGGAUGUACGGUACAGCAGAAUACAUUCCCUUACUCAACUAACAAAGUCUUUCAUUUAUCUGAAAACAGUUCCAAUUUUGAAAUAUCAGUGUCAAACUUUUCCCAGCAACAUAUUUAUCAUCUCUCCACAUUAUCCUUAACUGACAGCAGCUUGGAAGAUCUUCAAUCAGCAAGUUCAGAAAGCAAUGAACAAGUACCUUCUGUUUCUGCACACACAAAUAAUCUGCAUCAACAAGAGCAUUCUNNNNNNNNNNNNNNNNNNNNNNNNNNNNNNNNNNNNNNNNNNNNNNNNNNNNNNNNNNNNNNNNNNNNNNNNNNNNNNNNNNNNNNNNNNNNNNNNNNNNNNNNNNNNNNNNNNNNNNNNNNNNNNNNNNNNNNNNNNNNNNNNNNNNNNNNNNNNNNNNNNNNNNNNNNNNNNNNNNNNNNNNNNNNNNNNNNNNNNNNNNNNNNNNNNNNNNNNNNNNNNNNNNNNNNNNNNNNNNNNNNNNNCAGCAGAAUAAAAUAUUAUUAAUUUUAUUUUUUUUAUUUUGCUAUCUUACUAAUAAUUGGCAAUAAUAAUAAUAAUAAUAAUAAUAAUAAUAAUAUCUUUAAGGUUAAUGAUUUUAUUUUCUAAUUAAUAUGGAUAAUUUUAGAUUUUUAUAAUAUAUAUGACGAUAAACACGAAAUUAAGUAUAAAACUAAUUCUCAAAAUCCGAUUUUAAAAAUCUACUUUUUCCCUACUUUUUAAAAUCUUCAGUAAGAUAAGGUAAAUUUACCAAAAGUGAUUUCUGAAAAUAUUUAUCAAAUAAUAAAAUUAAUUUGUAACUUUUCAAAAUAACUUUUAAAUCUCGCAAAAAAAAAUCCUAAAUGAGUCCUAAGUACCUAACUUUAUGACGGUCAACAAAUAUGGUAUAAAAGUCUUCUACACCUACUGGGCAUUUGAAUGGGCCAUCUGUCUUAGCUCUUACCUCUUAAAAUGGGCUAAAAAUCAGAGAGUCAGUUAACUAAUAUGGGCUAAAAUUUGGGUACACCUCUCGGGCAUGUUAAUGGGCCAUCAUCUUUCACAGGUUUCUAAAGGGUAAAGGCUUUCUGUCUCCCAAGACUUCGACUAGUGAAAUUUAAUCGAUAUAAAUAUGUAGCUACCUAUAUUUAUAUAAGAAAAUGAUGUUCUCAUAAAUUUGCGUGCAAAGAUUUGCACAAAACGGUGCGUUUUGUGCAGCUUUAAAAAUGCUCUUCGUACGUGCACCAAACAACACACAAGCACGCCAAUUCACAACAUCAUUUUCCCACUCGCGUCUGCCUCCUUUCACUGCAACAAAAACCCAGCAGCUUCGUUCUCCACACAGCAAGAAGUCUCCUUAUUAAUAUAAUAUUAUAUAAUAAACUCAACAGAAGUCUCCUUUCUUCCUCCAUUUUUCCUCACGAGAUAGCUCCGAUCUCUCUCCCUCCGUCCUCCUUUCUUCCUUACAAGACAGCUCGGGUCUCUCUCUCUGGCCUCCUUUCUCCCUCACAAGAUAGUUCGGAUCUCUCUUUCCAGUCUCCACGCCGCUAAUAGUCCCAGUUCUAACCUCUCUCGCCCCGCAGCAACCAUAAGAUCUCUCUCUCACCCGUUUCAAUUCAUUGCUCUAAUUGAAAUCUUUAACUCGUUUAGGACAUUGUGCUGAAUUACCUAUGGAUGGUGGUGGUCUUAUGCUUGAGUGUUGUAAAUUAGAAUCAAAUUAUGCAAAACCUGAUGCCUUUGGGAAUCAUGUUUAUUUCAAGCUUCUAUGUUGUGAUUUGAUUAUUUGAUGAAGCACCUGGAAAAUGUAGUUUGCUCCCUCAAAUUAUUUUACUCUGUUGAAUAAAUUGUAUUUGCCAUUAUUUGAAAAGAAUUUAAAAAAAAAUUACAGCCCCGAAACAUUGAGCUUAUGCUAUAAUUUAAGCAUCUCCCUCAUUUAUAGCACAUUUAUUUUCAUAAUUUACGCGACAAUGGAGAACGGAGCCGAGACUGUUAGUGGCAUGGGGAUGAGAGAGAAAAAUAUGAGCUGUUUCGUGAGGUUUUGUUAGGUUUCGUGAGGGAGAAAGGAGAUGGGAGAGAGAGACGCUGAGUUUUGUUGCUCCCCUCACUUGUGUGUGUUUGGUGUUAAAACUUUGCAGCAAAGAGUGGCUUUUAUACUUUGCACAAAACGCACCGUUUUGUGCAAAGUUUUGUGCAAAGUGUUGUGAGAACAUCAUUUUCCAUUUAAAUAUUGGCUUUUCAUUUUUUUUCAAAUGAGAAUUGAUCCAGUGUGCACCAUCAUGCACAGCACAAGGUAUAUUUUCAUCAGUGGGCGCUAGGUCUCAUAGAUUGGUUCUCUCUAAUAAGAACAUGUCGUCUGUUGUCCCGCGCUAGAUCGAAUGCGUUUUCAAAUUUGUCAAAUUACAUUUUGAGCAUGUCAUAGUGGACGUUAUUACAAAGUCGUCAAUCUCAAUACAAUAAUCAUGACAUCAGGUUUUGAGAAUGUGAAUAAAACUCAUAUUUAUUUGAUAAAAUAUAAUUUAAAAAUAAAAAUAAAAUAUGUAUAUUCUAUAUAAUUUGAUAAUAAAAAAUAGAAAUCUCAUUUUUAUAUUGGGUUGGGAAUGAGGAUUCCUAUUUCUUGAACUGACUUUUAUAUCUCUCUAUUUUUUUCAUAUUUUUUAAAUUAUUCUCGUUUAAAUCACAAUUAAUUUGAUUACUGCUGUACGGCCAAGGCGGAUGCAAUAGAAUUGCACCUACAAAAGUAAAACAUAAGUAAAUCACUAUUAUUAAGUGCAAAACAUUGAUAUUAAGGGAAGUAAAUAAUGCAAAACUAGUGCAUAAAUUGCACUCUAACAGUAAUCAGUAAUCAGCAUUAAAAAUUAAAUUAAAUUAAAUUUUUUUGUUUUUAAUAUUAUUUAGUUAUAGACUUAUUAUUAUAUUUAUUCGUUCAUAAAACUAAAUAAUGUUAAAUCAAAUAAAAUAAUCAGGAAUGGUUCUUAAAAAAUUAAUAUUAUUUAUUUUAUUUUAUUUAAUAUUAUUUAGUCAUAGCCUAUUAUUCUGUUUAUUUUUUGAAAAUUAAAUAAUAUUAAAUAAAAAUCCCCCCUUUUCACAAUAGAUUCCUCCCUUCAAUACUCUCUCUCUCCUCUCUUUUAGAAUUCUAUUUAAAAUAAAAUACUAAUAUCUGAAAUAUUAAAUUCGUAAUUACAAAAAUAACCAAAAAUACAAAAUACGUUAAACUAAAAACUGCAGGUCCGCAGUUGACAGCACGCGCCCACGCCUUAUCAACAAAGUUCUUCUGACGCUCAUAAUUUCUCCAAGAGAACAAUCAUCCUUAAACAUCAUCUUAUAGCUCAAUUUUAUCAUCAAUCAAUAGAAUUACACCUACAAAAGUAAAACACAAGUAAAACAUUAUUAUUAAGUGCAAAACAUCGAUAUUAAGGGAAGUAAACAAUGCAAAACUAGUGCAUAAAUUGCACUCUAACAAAUUCCCCCACACCAAGAUGAUGCUUGUCCUCAAGCAUAUAACUCAAGACUAAUCUCAAAUCUCCACUAAAUUCUCAUCUCAACUCAUCCAAAAAUAAUUUUAAGCAAGCAUACCUCAAGAAAUUAAGUCGAUCAACAUUCGAGAGACAAGGAUUUUUAAAGCAUAGAAUCUCAUAAGAUAGAAUAAGAACAUUCAACCACCAAGAAGAUCCAUUCAAAAUUCAAGUGCAACAAGAUGUAAUAGCCCUCUCAAUAACUUCACUCCAUGCACUCAAAGUGUUUAGGGUAUCAUUUAUGCACUCAAAUCAAAUCAAAGAAUGCUAUUACCAUAAGCUUGCUCAUAUAUCACAUCUCAAUCCACAAAACAUGAAUAAAAUGAAAAAAUCUAAGGGUCUUAAAAGGGUUGUAAUGGGGUUAAAUAGGUUAAAUGAAAAAGAAAGGUCUAUGAAAGAAAAAGAGAUCAAAAUGAGAAGAAUGAACUCAUUGAAUGAACUUAUGAUAUCAAAAUGCUCCUUGGCCGUACAGCAGGAAUGGUUCUUAAAAAAUUAAUAUUAUUUAUUUUAUUUUAUUUAAUAUUAUUUAGUCAUAGCCUAUUAUUCUGUUUAUUUUUUGAAAAUUAAAUAAUAUUAAAUAAAAUAGAAUAGAAAAUGUGAGUCCUUAAAAAUAAAAAUUAUUUUUAAUAUUAUUUAUUUUAUUUAAAAGAAUAAAUUUUUUAAUAUUUUUAUUUUAUUAAAAAAUAUUAUUUAAUAUUAUCUAGUCAUAGGCUUAUUAUUAUAUUUCUUCUUUUAGAAAGUUAAAUAGUAUUAAAUGAAAUAAAAUUACAUUUUAGAAGGUCAUUAGCCAAAGCACAUAAACUUAUAAACAAAUGGAAAUAAAAAAGGUAAAUAAUAUUCAAUAAAAUAAAAUUACAUUUUAAAAGGUCACCAACCAAAGCACAUAAUAUUAUAACAAAAAUGUAAAUAAAAAAGAAAGUAAGAGAUUCAAUGAAAUUUAACAUCACAAAAGACAAUUUCAAAAAUUGGGGGUAGCUUGCAACUGUUGCAAAGUGGCUGGUUCCAUAAUUUUGAGAUAAUGUUUCGGUUUCAAAUAUUGUUAUCGAUACCUAAUUAUAAGUAAUAAAAAAAUAUUGUAUAAUUUUUUUACCAACAUUUACAAUACAUUUUAUUUUGAUUUCUGAAAAAAAUAGAUAAAACACAAAUUAAUUAUUUUAACCCUCUAUUCUCUCAAUAUUUAAACUCGAAUAAUCAGUUAAAAGUUGCUCGAGAAUGUUUAAAAGCCAUUUAAGUAUACCACGUCAUUCAUGUUUUGCAAUCAUUCAAUUGUUAAUAAGUUUCCCAUGUGCUGAAAAUAAAUAAAAAUGCACGUGCAUAUGUCAUAUUGUCUCCGAAACCUCACAGCGGAAUGAGUGUAGUACUUGCAAUGCAUGUACUUUAGACUUUGUAUUUCUCUUAUUUAAAUGAUCAAUAAUUUUUCUUUGUCCUUUAAUUAGACGUCAACAGUCGAAGUUGUGGGCAAGUAGUAGGCUAUAUAUAAUAAUUUCCUGGAGAUCUUCCGUCUUCUAAGACAUUGCAAAUGCCAAACGUGAUAACUAUUUUGAUAAUUCAAAUACUACAUAAAAUAUAUGAAGUGUCAGACAAGUCAAAAGAAUUGAUUCUUCACAAUUGUAUAUACGUAUACACACACUUUGCCCAAAUCCCAUUGUAUCCAGGCUGUAAUUUUUAUAUUAAACGAACAUAUUUUAUUUUAUGUCAGCAAUAUUGAUGCAGGCUGGUGGAACAACAGCUUCAGGAUGGUCAACUACCCUUCGGAUCAUUGCAAGUGGGAUGGCAUCACUUGCAAUUCAGAUGGAACCAUAAUCGGGCUAAAAUUAUCAGGGUAUGAUGUUGACUUCAAAAGGUAGUCUUCGUAAAAUUAUCAUGGUAUAAUAUACGUAUUUAUUUUCGCAUACAUAAAUAAAUAACAAAAUUGUAAUUAAUUGGAUACAACUUCAGCUUUUGGACUGGUUUGUGAAAAUCGGAAAAAUUUAAAAAUGCUCCUCUUGAACAAUCAAAAUCUACUUUAUACGUGAACAAAGGGGAUGAUUCGUAAAGAUAAUUCAUCAAUGUUUGAUUACUUUCAGAAAGAUAGACUUCAUUUGAUCUCGUCCCAAAGCAUAAUUUCACUUUGAAUUUGAAAAAGAAUAAUGAAGUUCAUACGAUGCUGUUGUGACCUUUUUUUUUUGUUUUCUUUUUUUCUCGACGUUGUUUUGUGAAUCAUAAGGGUUAAUUUAGUACGGUGGGUUCGCUUGUAUGAAGCGUACUUAUUGUACCAUUCUGUUGCAAGUAAUGAAAAAACGCUAUAAUUUUUUUUAGGUUUCUACAAGUAUUAUGUUAUCUUAUAUCUAACUGUGCAUCUCUAUUCUUUGCUCUCAGUUCAGGUUCUCUAAAAGUAUAUUAAUUAUGAAAAGCAUUAAAGGUUCCGAAACUCUAUUUUGCGGGGAAAAAGAACCUCCAUUUUUGGUUUUUUAUUAUCAUAAGAGGUUUUACUAUGCUCGUAAUAACUUAAUCGAAAUUAAACAUAUCACUGGUCUACAUUUUUUUAUCAGAUUUUGUGCCUUGCUAAUUAAGAUGAGUAUCACCAUCAAAUCAACAAGCUUAUACCUUCAAAGAAAAAUAGACUAUAAGUCGGGAGAAAGAAGAAGAAAAAAAAAAAGAAGCUUCGCAAUUUAUGCUGUUGGUUGUGAGUUCAUGAAACAAAUAAAAAUAUGAAAUCAAACAUUUAUCCAAAAUUUAAAAUUAAAAAAAAACUCUAUAUCUACAGUAAUCUGUUCAAACCACAUAGGUGGAGCAAUAGAGUUCCAAGACGUGGUUUUAAAACAUGUCUUUGUGAUAAACAAUAUCGUGAUACUUGCGCCAAUUCCCAUGCCAAUAAUUGCCUACAUUUAUCCAAGAUCCAUGGCCAGGUUUAGAAUGUGCUAGUCUUCUUUCACUUUCAUAAAUAACCACUACUAGGUAAUCAGAGUGUCGGUCUAAAUUUUUCGGAGAUACAACGUCAAUGUAUGUGCCCGGAGUUGAAGCUGAACGCGCUUAAAUAUGUUCGGAAUUUGAAGUUGAACGCCUGGAAAAGGAUGCAGACUGAAGAAAGGCAAUUCCUGGAAUUUGUCUUUGGUAAGAAAACAUGGCUGCUUAUGCCCUUUGAAAGACUGAAGAAACCAAAUUGAUUAUUGCUGCAAUUUAGUGGCACGUGUACAAGGAGAGGCAUCCGAUUAAACUUGUUCAUAAAAUUAUUGCUGAUAGUUGCAGCCGAUCUCCAUGAAGUACAAACCCAACGCAAAGAAACAAAGUGUUCGUACAAUUUUAUCCGCCAGCAAUUUCGACCAAGAGACCUUGAUGCAGUUCAGACCAAUUCGCCAGUUGAACAUCAAGUUGCCUAGGCAUUGAGAAUUAGGUCAAUAAAAUAUAUCCUGGGUCACUUACAAAAGAUGAAAUAAGUGAAAAAGGAAAGAUGACGUAAUAAUUUCUUAGUGAGAAAAGUUAGUUAAUUUUCAAUUGCUUUCAUUGUUUUGAUAAUUUUCAAAACAUUUCAUUGCUUUCAUUGCGUAAUUAAGCUUUUUUUGCUUCAAAAUAUUUCAAAUUGUGUUUGUGGGACUACUAAACAAUUAGGACACAACAAUGUUUCGUUCUGGUCUUUUUUUUUUUUUACUUUUUAAUUUAUUUUAAGAAAAUCUUUGUCCAUCUCUCAUCCUGCCAAAUAUAUCGUCUCGUCUUGUUAUCUAGAAUAAUUCUUCAUGCAUCAAUGAGUUUUGACAAAUUUUUAUCUUUUAAAAGUUGUUGUAAUUCAAUAUAGCUAAAAUCUUAAAUACAUACAUGUAGAAUAAUCUAAGCAUUACCUUAUUCGGGGAAAAUCGAGAUUAGAAUCAAUCAAAGCAAUGAUACCUUAUAUCAGUGAGAUAUAUGCAAGACUCACCCAUUGGUACAAACGAAAAUGAUCAAAGUGGAAGCAAAAAUGGAAUCCUCAAAUGUGGUGAUAAUUUAGAUGAUCUCCACUCUCCAUUUGGUUUCAUCUAAUAAGUUAGUGUUUAAUUAAGAAUUUAUUACUCAUUUUAUUAUGAUAUUAAUCAACUGCCGUCCCUUCCAUUAGUUCAUUAUUUUUGAUGGAUUACGAAAGACAGACAAUAAAAUUCUCCAAAACUGUUGUAAGAGUAAUAUUGUAAAAGUUACAUAAAAGUGAGGAUAAGGAUAAUUUGAGGUAUGUUUCAAGAUAUAAAGAUUAAAUAAAUUCUUAACUCAAAAUAAAGAGAUUUAUUUUUUUUAAAAGAGAUUAAAAUGUCAUGAUAAAUAAAUAAGGGAGGUGAUAUUCUGGGCUCUCCCCUGGCUUUUUGUGAUAACAUCUUAAAUUAAUAUAAAUAGUUAAAAUUUUAUUAAAAAAUAAAUUUUUACCUAAUACUCUUUGACAUAGCUAGGAAUAUAGCCUACUUGCAAGAGACUUACAUUCGUUUGCACAGCCCUUUCGUGAAUAUAAAAUUGCUGCCGAAUAAGCAUCUAAUUAAAAGAAUUAGGAAUUUGUCAACGGUAUAAAUUAAAUAUAAAAAACGAGUAAAAGAAUUUGUCAAUGGGAUAUGGGGGGCUAUGGCUUCAAUCGUAGGGGUGGGCAAAUUUCGGAUUCCGAAUCCGAUCGGAUUUUGGAUAAUUCGGAUUGGGAAAAAAUCCAUCCAAAUUCAAUCCGAACCUUAAAUCUGUUUCGAUCCGAGAUAAUUUCGGAUCCGGAUCAGAUUCGGAUGAGUUUGAAUUUCAGAUUAUAUUUCAAGUUCGGAUUAUAUUUUGGAUUCGGAUUAAUUCGGGUUUGGGACCUUUUUACAAUUCUCACAAAAAAAUUAUGAAAUUUAUAAUUAAUGAAAAAUAAUUUCCAUGAUGCUGUCAACAAUAAUUAAUAUUUUGAAAACGCAAUAACGGAAUUUUCAAAAAAAAGAAAAAGAAAACACAGGAACGGUAUUGAUAAAGAAUUUUCAUUAGCCAUUUGUGACUGCUAACUAAAUUGUAACAACUAAGUAAAAUAUAAUAAUAAUAAUAAUACAUGCGGGUAUAUUCAAAGCAACUAAAUCACUUGCGAAUGAUCAAGACAAAUCGUAUAAACAAGUAAAAAAUUCAAAGUUUCAAACGCAAAUCGUCGGGGGCUAUCGGAUUAGUGGAUUACCAUUAACAAGACGAGGUUUAUGUCGGUGUGAGUUGCUCAUUGUGGGUCUGGAUGAUGUCGCGAUGGCUGGGUUUGUGCCAACUAUGAUCCAGCUAGGUUUGUAUCGAAUCUGAUCUCGUCUAGAGGACGUUGUGGCGGCUGGGUUUGUGUCGAAUUCAUUCGGUUUGUCUCGUCGGCGACAUGGUUGUUGGUUGGCUCGUCAGGUUGUGGCCCGUGGGUGUGGUGUGGUUUGUUGUCGUGGAUUGACUUAUCAAAGGGCGUGCGACGAUGGUGUGUGGUUUUGUCAUUUGGAAAUUGAGUUUUGAUUUUUCAUUUUCGUUUUUUUAAAAAAAAAUUUUUGGAUUAUUCGGAUUGAACUGAAUCUUAUCCGAUCCAAAUCAAAUCCGAUCAGAUUACAAAAAUUUCAUCCGAUUGGAUUUUAAAGCAAAUCCAAAUCCGAUCCGAACAAAUUCGGAUCGAAUUGGAUUAGAUCGGAUCUAUCCGAAUCUGAUCCAAUGUCCACCCCUAUUCAAUCGGUUUCUGCAAUGGUUAAUGGCAUAUUUUUGCUCAUCGUCACCACUGAAUCCACUGAUCAUUUGUGCAUGUGAGUUGUUUUUGAGCAUUUAUUUUUCCCUUUAGAAGCAUAAGGAUAAGGCUAGUCUUCUUUUUGGGAGGACUUAUUGCUUCCAUUCGUUAAAAUUGGGCAUGUAAAAUGUCAAGAAAAAAUGGCCUAAGUGGCUAGCUAGAUGAUAUAAUGGAUGGUUACUACUCAAACCUAGCAAUAAAUGAAUGUCCGACAAGCAUUCAAAUGAAUGAAUAAAACCAAUCAGAUUAGAAUAUCUAUUUAUGAUAGAUUAAUGAAAAUACGAUUCAAAUAUAAGGUAAAUAAUCUCUCCAUUAAUUUUUUAUUGUUUCAGGCAGGGUUGCCAAGCCUCUGUCCGGGCUUCUAUAAGCUCAAUUCCAGCUCUCCUAUAUGAUUGAAUUAGAUCGGGCUAGGCCCUCGGACUUUUUAAUUAAAAAAGGUCGAUUUUUAAGUUUAUGAAGUUAAUACACUCACGCUUAUACUUUAAUAUUUUUAUUAUUUGGCUUUUAGAAUAUUAACGUGUAAAUUACUUUUUUUUUUCAAGUGAAAUAAUUAUCACAUUUUGUCUUCUUAGUAUAUAUUUCUACCUUUUUGUUCCUAUAGAUAUUUCCUCAUUUCAUCUUUGGUACUAGAGCGUAGUAAAAAAACACAUGAUUAAAGAUAAAUAUGACAUUUUAACUAACAAAUUAAUUAUUUGUAUCUAAGAUCUAGCUCUAGUGGUAAAGAUCAAUUUUCAUCGAAUUCAAGUCUUGGGUUUGAAUUUAAAUGCAUGGGUAAGUUAAUAAUAAUAAUAAUAAUAAUAAUAAUAAUAAUAAUAAUAAUAAUAAUAAUAAUAAUAAUAAUAAUAAUAAUAAUAAUAAUAAUAAUAAUAAUAAUAAUAAUAAUAAUAAUAAUAAUAAUAAUAAUAAUAAUAAUAAUAAUAAUAAUAAUAAUAAUAAUAAUAAUAAUAAUAAUAAUAAUAAUAAUAAUAAUAAUAAUAAUAAUAAUAAUAAUAAUAAUAAUAAUAAUAAUAAUAAUAAUAAUAAUAAUAAUAAUAAUAAUAAUAAUAAUAAUAAUAAUAAUAAUAAUAAUAAUAAUAAUAAUAAUAAUAAUAAUAAUAAUAAUAAUAAUAAUAAUAAUAAUAAUAAUAAUAAUAAUAAUAAUAAUAAUAAUAAUAAUAAUAAUAAUAAUAAUAAUAAUAAUAAUAAUAAUAAUAAUAAUAAUAAUAAUAAUAAUAAUAAUAAUAAUAAUAAUAAUAAUAAUAAUAAUAAUAAUAAUAAUAAUAAUAAUAAUAAUAAUAAUAAUAAUAAUAAUAAUAAUAAUAAUAAUAAUAAUAAUAAUAAUAAUAAUAAUAAUAAUAAUAAUAAUAAUAAUAAUAAUAAUAAUAAUAAUAAUAAUAAUAAUAAUAAUAAUAAUAAUAAUAAUAAUAAUAAUAAUAAUAAUAAUAAUAAUAAUAAUAAUAAUAAUAAUAAUAAUAAUAAUAAUAAUAAUAAUAAUAAUAAUAAUAAUAAUAAUAAUAAUAAUAAUAAUAAUAAUAAUAAUAAUAAUAAUAAUAAUAAUAAUAAUAAUAAUAAUAAUAAUAAUAAUAAUAAUAAUAAUAAUAAUAAUAAUAAUAAUAAUAAUAAUAAUAAUAAUAAUAAUAAUAAUAAUAAUAAUAAUAAUAAUAAUAAUAAUAAUAAUAAUAAUAAUAAUAAUAAUAAUAAUAAUAAUAAUAAUAAUAAUAAUAAUAAUAAUAAUAAUAAUAAUAAUAAUAAUAAUAAUAAUAAUAAUAAUAAUAAUAAUAAUAAUAAUAAUAAUAAUAAUAAUAAUAAUAAUAAUAAUAAUAAUAAUAAUAAUAAUAAUAAUAAUAAUAAUAAUAAUAAUAAUAAUAAUAAUAAUAAUAAUAAUAAUAAUAAUAAUAAUAAUAAUAAUAAUAAUAAUAAUAAUAAUAAUAAUAAUAAUAAUAAUAAUAAUAAUAAUAAUAAUAAUAAUAAUAAUAAUAAUAAUAAUAAUAAUAAUAAUAAUAAUAAUAAUAAUAAUAAUAAUAAUAAUAAUAAUAAUAAUAAUAAUAAUAAUAAUAAUAAUAAUAAUAAUAAUAAUAAUAAUAAUAAUAAUAAUAAUAAUAAUAAUAAUAAUAAUAAUAAUAAUAAUAAUAAUAAUAAUAAUAAUAAUAAUAAUAAUAAUAAUAAUAAUAAUAAUAAUAAUAAUAAUAAUAAUAAUAAUAAUAAUAAUAAUAAUAAUAAUAAUAAUAAUAAUAAUAAUAAUAAUAAUAAUAAUAAUAAUAAUAAUAAUAAUAAUAAUAAUAAUAAUAAUAAUAAUAAUAAUAAUAAUAAUAAUAAUAAUAAUAAUAAUAAUAAUAAUAAUAAUAAUAAUAAUAAUAAUAAUAAUAAUAAUAAUAAUAAUAAUAAUAAUAAUAAUAAUAAUAAUAAUAAUAAUAAUAAUAAUAAUAAUAAUAAUAAUAAUAAUAAUAAUAAUAAUAAUAAUAAUAAUAAUAAUAAUAAUAAUAAUAAUAAUAAUAAUAAUAAUAAUAAUAAUAAUAAUAAUAAUAAUAAUAAUAAUAAUAAUAAUAAUAAUAAUAAUAAUAAUAAUAAUAAUAAUAAUAAUAAUAAUAAUAAUAAUAAUAAUAAUAAUAAUAAUAAUAAUAAUAAUAAUAAUAAUAAUAAUAAUAAUAAUAAUAAUAAUAAUAAUAAUAAUAAUAAUAAUAAUAAUAAUAAUAAUAAUAAUAAUAAUAAUAAUAAUAAUAAUAAUAAUAAUAAUAAUAAUAAUAAUAAUAAUAAUAAUAAUAAUAAUAAUAAUAAUAAUAAUAAUAAUAAUAAUAAUAAUAAUAAUAAUAAUAAUAAUAAUAAUAAUAAUAAUAAUAAUAAUAAUAAUAAUAAUAAUAAUAAUAAUAAUAAUAAUAAUAAUAAUAAUAAUAAUAAUAAUAAUAAUAAUAAUAAUAAUAAUAAUAAUAAUAAUAAUAAUAAUAAUAAUAAUAAUAAUAAUAAUAAUAAUAAUAAUAAUAAUAAUAAUAAUAAUAAUAAUAAUAAUAAUAAUAAUAAUAAUAAUAAUAAUAAUAAUAAUAAUAAUAAUAAUAAUAAUAAUAAUAAUAAUAAUAAUAAUAAUAAUAAUAAUAAUAAUAAUAAUAAUAAUAAUAAUAAUAAUAAUAAUAAUAAUAAUAAUAAUAAUAAUAAUAAUAAUAAUAAUAAUAAUAAUAAUAAUAAUAAUAAUAAUAAUAAUAAUAAUAAUAAUAAUAAUAAUAAUAAUAAUAAUAAUAAUAAUAAUAAUAAUAAUAAUAAUAAUAAUAAUAAUAAUAAUAAUAAUAAUAAUAAUAAUAAUAAUAAUAAUAAUAAUAAUAAUAAUAAUAAUAAUAAUAAUAAUAAUAAUAAUAAUAAUAAUAAUAAUAAUAAUAAUAAUAAUAAUAAUAAUAAUAAUAAUAAUAAUAAUAAUAAUAAUAAUAAUAAUAAUAAUAAUAAUAAUAAUAAUAAUAAUAAUAAUAAUAAUAAUAAUAAUAAUAAUAAUAAUAAUAAUAAUAAUAAUAAUAAUAAUAAUAAUAAUAAUAAUAAUAAUAAUAAUAAUAAUAAUAAUAAUAAUAAUAAUAAUAAUAAUAAUAAUAAUAAUAAUAAUAAUAAUAAUAAUAAUAAUAAUAAUAAUAAUAAUAAUAAUAAUAAUAAUAAUAAUAAUAAUAAUAAUAAUAAUAAUAAUAAUAAUAAUAAUAAUAAUAAUAAUAAUAAUAAUAAUAAUAAUAAUAAUAAUAAUAAUAAUAAUAAUAAUAAUAAUAAUAAUAAUAAUAAUAAUAAUAAUAAUAAUAAUAAUAAUAAUAAUAAUAAUAAUAAUAAUAAUAAUAAUAAUAAUAAUAAUAAUAAUAAUAAUAAUAAUAAUAAUAAUAAUAAUAAUAAUAAUAAUAAUAAUAAUAAUAAUAAUAAUAAUAAUAAUAAUAAUAAUAAUAAUAAUAAUAAUAAUAAUAAUAAUAAUAAUAAUAAUAAUAAUAAUAAUAAUAAUAAUAAUAAUAAUAAUAAUAAUAAUAAUAAUAAUAAUAAUAAUAAUAAUAAUAAUAAUAAUAAUAAUAAUAAUAAUAAUAAUAAUAAUAAUAAUAAUAAUAAUAAUAAUAAUAAUAAUAAUAAUAAUAAUAAUAAUAAUAAUAAUAAUAAUAAUAAUAAUAAUAAUAAUAAUAAUAAUAAUAAUAAUAAUAAUAAUAAUAAUAAUAAUAAUAAUAAUAAUAAUAAUAAUAAUAAUAAUAAUAAUAAUAAUAAUAAUAAUAAUAAUAAUAAUAAUAAUAAUAAUAAUAAUAAUAAUAAUAAUAAUAAUAAUAAUAAUAAUAAUAAUAAUAAUAAUAAUAAUAAUAAUAAUAAUAAUAAUAAUAAUAAUAAUAAUAAUAAUAAUAAUAAUAAUAAUAAUAAUAAUAAUAAUAAUAAUAAUAAUAAUAAUAAUAAUAAUAAUAAUAAUAAUAAUAAUAAUAAUAAUAAUAAUAAUAAUAAUAAUAAUAAUAAUAAUAAUAAUAAUAAUAAUAAUAAUAAUAAUAAUAAUAAUAAUAAUAAUAAUAAUAAUAAUAAUAAUAAUAAUAAUAAUAAUAAUAAUAAUAAUAAUAAUAAUAAUAAUAAUAAUAAUAAUAAUAAUAAUAAUAAUAAUAAUAAUAAUAAUAAUAAUAAUAAUAAUAAUAAUAAUAAUAAUAAUAAUAAUAAUAAUAAUAAUAAUAAUAAUAAUAAUAAUAAUAAUAAUAAUAAUAAUAAUAAUAAUAAUAAUAAUAAUAAUAAUAAUAAUAAUAAUAAUAAUAAUAAUAAUAAUAAUAAUAAUAAUAAUAAUAAUAAUAAUAAUAAUAAUAAUAAUAAUAAUAAUAAUAAUAAUAAUAAUAAUAAUAAUAAUAAUAAUAAUAAUAAUAAUAAUAAUAAUAAUAAUAAUAAUAAUAAUAAUAAUAAUAAUAAUAAUAAUAAUAAUAAUAAUAAUAAUAAUAAUAAUAAUAAUAAUAAUAAUAAUAAUAAUAAUAAUAAUAAUAAUAAUAAUAAUAAUAAUAAUAAUAAUAAUAAUAAUAAUAAUAAUAAUAAUAAUAAUAAUAAUAAUAAUAAUAAUAAUAAUAAUAAUAAUAAUAAUAAUAAUAAUAAUAAUAAUAAUAAUAAUAAUAAUAAUAAUAAUAAUAAUAAUAAUAAUAAUAAUAAUAAUAAUAAUAAUAAUAAUAAUAAUAAUAAUAAUAAUAAUAAUAAUAAUAAUAAUAAUAAUAAUAAUAAUAAUAAUAAUAAUAAUAAUAAUAAUAAUAAUAAUAAUAAUAAUAAUAAUAAUAAUAAUAAUAAUAAUAAUAAUAAUAAUAAUAAUAAUAAUAAUAAUAAUAAUAAUAAUAAUAAUAAUAAUAAUAAUAAUAAUAAUAAUAAUAAUAAUAAUAAUAAUAAUAAUAAUAAUAAUAAUAAUAAUAAUAAUAAUAAUAAUAAUAAUAAUAAUAAUAAUAAUAAUAAUAAUAAUAAUAAUAAUAAUAAUAAUAAUAAUAAUAAUAAUAAUAAUAAUAAUAAUAAUAAUAAUAAUAAUAAUAAUAAUAAUAAUAAUAAUAAUAAUAAUAAUAAUAAUAAUAAUAAUAAUAAUAAUAAUAAUAAUAAUAAUAAUAAUAAUAAUAAUAAUAAUAAUAAUAAUAAUAAUAAUAAUAAUAAUAAUAAUAAUAAUAAUAAUAAUAAUAAUAAUAAUAAUAAUAAUAAUAAUAAUAAUAAUAAUAAUAAUAAUAAUAAUAAUAAUAAUAAUAAUAAUAAUAAUAAUAAUAAUAAUAAUAAUAAUAAUAAUAAUAAUAAUAAUAAUAAUAAUAAUAAUAAUAAUAAUAAUAAUAAUAAUAAUAAUAAUAAUAAUAAUAAUAAUAAUAAUAAUAAUAAUAAUAAUAAUAAUAAUAAUAAUAAUAAUAAUAAUAAUAAUAAUAAUAAUAAUAAUAAUAAUAAUAAUAAUAAUAAUAAUAAUAAUAAUAAUAAUAAUAAUAAUAAUAAUAAUAAUAAUAAUAAUAAUAAUAAUAAUAAUAAUAAUAAUAAUAAUAAUAAUAAUAAUAAUAAUAAUAAUAAUAAUAAUAAUAAUAAUAAUAAUAAUAAUAAUAAUAAUAAUAAUAAUAAUAAUAAUAAUAAUAAUAAUAAUAAUAAUAAUAAUAAUAAUAAUAAUAAUAAUAAUAAUAAUAAUAAUAAUAAUAAUAAUAAUAAUAAUAAUAAUAAUAAUAAUAAUAAUAAUAAUAAUAAUAAUAAUAAUAAUAAUAAUAAUAAUAAUAAUAAUAAUAAUAAUAAUAAUAAUAAUAAUAAUAAUAAUAAUAAUAAUAAUAAUAAUAAUAAUAAUAAUAAUAAUAAUAAUAAUAAUAAUAAUAAUAAUAAUAAUAAUAAUAAUAAUAAUAAUAAUAAUAAUAAUAAUAAUAAUAAUAAUAAUAAUAAUAAUAAUAAUAAUAAUAAUAAUAAUAAUAAUAAUAAUAAUAAUAAUAAUAAUAAUAAUAAUAAUAAUAAUAAUAAUAAUAAUAAUAAUAAUAAUAAUAAUAAUAAUAAUAAUAAUAAUAAUAAUAAUAAUAAUAAUAAUAAUAAUAAUAAUAAUAAUAAUAAUAAUAAUAAUAAUAAUAAUAAUAAUAAUAAUAAUAAUAAUAAUAAUAAUAAUAAUAAUAAUAAUAAUAAUAAUAAUAAUAAUAAUAAUAAUAAUAAUAAUAAUAAUAAUAAUAAUAAUAAUAAUAAUAAUAAUAAUAAUAAUAAUAAUAAUAAUAAUAAUAAUAAUAAUAAUAAUAAUAAUAAUAAUAAUAAUAAUAAUAAUAAUAAUAAUAAUAAUAAUAAUAAUAAUAAUAAUAAUAAUAAUAAUAAUAAUAAUAAUAAUAAUAAUAAUAAUAAUAAUAAUAAUAAUAAUAAUAAUAAUAAUAAUAAUAAUAAUAAUAAUAAUAAUAAUAAUAAUAAUAAUAAUAAUAAUAAUAAUAAUAAUAAUAAUAAUAAUAAUAAUAAUAAUAAUAAUAAUAAUAAUAAUAAUAAUAAUAAUAAUAAUAAUAAUAAUAAUAAUAAUAAUAAUAAUAAUAAUAAUAAUAAUAAUAAUAAUAAUAAUAAUAAUAAUAAUAAUAAUAAUAAUAAUAAUAAUAAUAAUAAUAAUAAUAAUAAUAAUAAUAAUAAUAAUAAUAAUAAUAAUAAUAAUAAUAAUAAUAAUAAUAAUAAUAAUAAUAAUAAUAAUAAUAAUAAUAAUAAUAAUAAUAAUAAUAAUAAUAAUAAUAAUAAUAAUAAUAAUAAUAAUAAUAAUAAUAAUAAUAAUAAUAAUAAUAAUAAUAAUAAUAAUAAUAAUAAUAAUAAUAAUAAUAAUAAUAAUAAUAAUAAUAAUAAUAAUAAUAAUAAUAAUAAUAAUAAUAAUAAUAAUAAUAAUAAUAAUAAUAAUAAUAAUAAUAAUAAUAAUAAUAAUAAUAAUAAUAAUAAUAAUAAUAAUAAUAAUAAUAAUAAUAAUAAUAAUAAUAAUAAUAAUAAUAAUAAUAAUAAUAAUAAUAAUAAUAAUAAUAAUAAUAAUAAUAAUAAUAAUAAUAAUAAUAAUAAUAAUAAUAAUAAUAAUAAUAAUAAUAAUAAUAAUAAUAAUAAUAAUAAUAAUAAUAAUAAUAAUAAUAAUAAUAAUAAUAAUAAUAAUAAUAAUAAUAAUAAUAAUAAUAAUAAUAAUAAUAAUAAUAAUAAUAAUAAUAAUAAUAAUAAUAAUAAUAAUAAUAAUAAUAAUAAUAAUAAUAAUAAUAAUAAUAAUAAUAAUAAUAAUAAUAAUAAUAAUAAUAAUAAUAAUAAUAAUAAUAAUAAUAAUAAUAAUAAUAAUAAUAAUAAUAAUAAUAAUAAUAAUAAUAAUAAUAAUAAUAAUAAUAAUAAUAAUAAUAAUAAUAAUAAUAAUAAUAAUAAUAAUAAUAAUAAUAAUAAUAAUAAUAAUAAUAAUAAUAAUAAUAAUAAUAAUAAUAAUAAUAAUAAUAAUAAUAAUAAUAAUAAUAAUAAUAAUAAUAAUAAUAAUAAUAAUAAUAAUAAUAAUAAUAAUAAUAAUAAUAAUAAUAAUAAUAAUAAUAAUAAUAAUAAUAAUAAUAAUAAUAAUAAUAAUAAUAAUAAUAAUAAUAAUAAUAAUAAUAAUAAUAAUAAUAAUAAUAAUAAUAAUAAUAAUAAUAAUAAUAAUAAUAAUAAUAAUAAUAAUAAUAAUAAUAAUAAUAAUAAUAAUAAUAAUAAUAAUAAUAAUAAUAAUAAUAAUAAUAAUAAUAAUAAUAAUAAUAAUAAUAAUAAUAAUAAUAAUAAUAAUAAUAAUAAUAAUAAUAAUAAUAAUAAUAAUAAUAAUAAUAAUAAUAAUAAUAAUAAUAAUAAUAAUAAUAAUAAUAAUAAUAAUAAUAAUAAUAAUAAUAAUAAUAAUAAUAAUAAUAAUAAUAAUAAUAAUAAUAAUAAUAAUAAUAAUAAUAAUAAUAAUAAUAAUAAUAAUAAUAAUAAUAAUAAUAAUAAUAAUAAUAAUAAUAAUAAUAAUAAUAAUAAUAAUAAUAAUAAUAAUAAUAAUAAUAAUAAUAAUAAUAAUAAUAAUAAUAAUAAUAAUAAUAAUAAUAAUAAUAAUAAUAAUAAUAAUAAUAAUAAUAAUAAUAAUAAUAAUAAUAAUAAUAAUAAUAAUAAUAAUAAUAAUAAUAAUAAUAAUAAUAAUAAUAAUAAUAAUAAUAAUAAUAAUAAUAAUAAUAAUAAUAAUAAUAAUAAUAAUAAUAAUAAUAAUAAUAAUAAUAAUAAUAAUAAUAAUAAUAAUAAUAAUAAUAAUAAUAAUAAUAAUAAUAAUAAUAAUAAUAAUAAUAAUAAUAAUAAUAAUAAUAAUAAUAAUAAUAAUAAUAAUAAUAAUAAUAAUAAUAAUAAUAAUAAUAAUAAUAAUAAUAAUAAUAAUAAUAAUAAUAAUAAUAAUAAUAAUAAUAAUAAUAAUAAUAAUAAUAAUAAUAAUAAUAAUAAUAAUAAUAAUAAUAAUAAUAAUAAUAAUAAUAAUAAUAAUAAUAAUAAUAAUAAUAAUAAUAAUAAUAAUAAUAAUAAUAAUAAUAAUAAUAAUAAUAAUAAUAAUAAUAAUAAUAAUAAUAAUAAUAAUAAUAAUAAUAAUAAUAAUAAUAAUAAUAAUAAUAAUAAUAAUAAUAAUAAUAAUAAUAAUAAUAAUAAUAAUAAUAAUAAUAAUAAUAAUAAUAAUAAUAAUAAUAAUAAUAAUAAUAAUAAUAAUAAUAAUAAUAAUAAUAAUAAUAAUAAUAAUAAUAAUAAUAAUAAUAAUAAUAAUAAUAAUAAUAAUAAUAAUAAUAAUAAUAAUAAUAAUAAUAAUAAUAAUAAUAAUAAUAAUAAUAAUAAUAAUAAUAAUAAUAAUAAUAAUAAUAAUAAUAAUAAUAAUAAUAAUAAUAAUAAUAAUAAUAAUAAUAAUAAUAAUAAUAAUAAUAAUAAUAAUAAUAAUAAUAAUAAUAAUAAUAAUAAUAAUAAUAAUAAUAAUAAUAAUAAUAAUAAUAAUAAUAAUAAUAAUAAUAAUAAUAAUAAUAAUAAUAAUAAUAAUAAUAAUAAUAAUAAUAAUAAUAAUAAUAAUAAUAAUAAUAAUAAUAAUAAUAAUAAUAAUAAUAAUAAUAAUAAUAAUAAUAAUAAUAAUAAUAAUAAUAAUAAUAAUAAUAAUAAUAAUAAUAAUAAUAAUAAUAAUAAUAAUAAUAAUAAUAAUAAUAAUAAUAAUAAUAAUAAUAAUAAUAAUAAUAAUAAUAAUAAUAAUAAUAAUAAUAAUAAUAAUAAUAAUAAUAAUAAUAAUAAUAAUAAUAAUAAUAAUAAUAAUAAUAAUAAUAAUAAUAAUAAUAAUAAUAAUAAUAAUAAUAAUAAUAAUAAUAAUAAUAAUAAUAAUAAUAAUAAUAAUAAUAAUAAUAAUAAUAAUAAUAAUAAUAAUAAUAAUAAUAAUAAUAAUAAUAAUAAUAAUAAUAAUAAUAAUAAUAAUAAUAAUAAUAAUAAUAAUAAUAAUAAUAAUAAUAAUAAUAAUAAUAAUAAUAAUAAUAAUAAUAAUAAUAAUAAUAAUAAUAAUAAUAAUAAUAAUAAUAAUAAUAAUAAUAAUAAUAAUAAUAAUAAUAAUAAUAAUAAUAAUAAUAAUAAUAAUAAUAAUAAUAAUAAUAAUAAUAAUAAUAAUAAUAAUAAUAAUAAUAAUAAUAAUAAUAAUAAUAAUAAUAAUAAUAAUAAUAAUAAUAAUAAUAAUAAUAAUAAUAAUAAUAAUAAUAAUAAUAAUAAUAAUAAUAAUAAUAAUAAUAAUAAUAAUAAUAAUAAUAAUAAUAAUAAUAAUAAUAAUAAUAAUAAUAAUAAUAAUAAUAAUAAUAAUAAUAAUAAUAAUAAUAAUAAUAAUAAUAAUAAUAAUAAUAAUAAUAAUAAUAAUAAUAAUAAUAAUAAUAAUAAUAAUAAUAAUAAUAAUAAUAAUAAUAAUAAUAAUAAUAAUAAUAAUAAUAAUAAUAAUAAUAAUAAUAAUAAUAAUAAUAAUAAUAAUAAUAAUAAUAAUAAUAAUAAUAAUAAUAAUAAUAAUAAUAAUAAUAAUAAUAAUAAUAAUAAUAAUAAUAAUAAUAAUAAUAAUAAUAAUAAUAAUAAUAAUAAUAAUAAUAAUAAUAAUAAUAAUAAUAAUAAUAAUAAUAAUAAUAAUAAUAAUAAUAAUAAUAAUAAUAAUAAUAAUAAUAAUAAUAAUAAUAAUAAUAAUAAUAAUAAUAAUAAUAAUAAUAAUAAUAAUAAUAAUAAUAAUAAUAAUAAUAAUAAUAAUAAUAAUAAUAAUAAUAAUAAUAAUAAUAAUAAUAAUAAUAAUAAUAAUAAUAAUAAUAAUAAUAAUAAUAAUAAUAAUAAUAAUAAUAAUAAUAAUAAUAAUAAUAAUAAUAAUAAUAAUAAUAAUAAUAAUAAUAAUAAUAAUAAUAAUAAUAAUAAUAAUAAUAAUAAUAAUAAUAAUAAUAAUAAUAAUAAUAAUAAUAAUAAUAAUAAUAAUAAUAAUAAUAAUAAUAAUAAUAAUAAUAAUAAUAAUAAUAAUAAUAAUAAUAAUAAUAAUAAUAAUAAUAAUAAUAAUAAUAAUAAUAAUAAUAAUAAUAAUAAUAAUAAUAAUAAUAAUAAUAAUAAUAAUAAUAAUAAUAAUAAUAAUAAUAAUAAUAAUAAUAAUAAUAAUAAUAAUAAUAAUAAUAAUAAUAAUAAUAAUAAUAAUAAUAAUAAUAAUAAUAAUAAUAAUAAUAAUAAUAAUAAUAAUAAUAAUAAUAAUAAUAAUAAUAAUAAUAAUAAUAAUAAUAAUAAUAAUAAUAAUAAUAAUAAUAAUAAUAAUAAUAAUAAUAAUAAUAAUAAUAAUAAUAAUAAUAAUAAUAAUAAUAAUAAUAAUAAUAAUAAUAAUAAUAAUAAUAAUAAUAAUAAUAAUAAUAAUAAUAAUAAUAAUAAUAAUAAUAAUAAUAAUAAUAAUAAUAAUAAUAAUAAUAAUAAUAAUAAUAAUAAUAAUAAUAAUAAUAAUAAUAAUAAUAAUAAUAAUAAUAAUAAUAAUAAUAAUAAUAAUAAUAAUAAUAAUAAUAAUAAUAAUAAUAAUAAUAAUAAUAAUAAUAAUAAUAAUAAUAAUAAUAAUAAUAAUAAUAAUAAUAAUAAUAAUAAUAAUAAUAAUAAUAAUAAUAAUAAUAAUAAUAAUAAUAAUAAUAAUAAUAAUAAUAAUAAUAAUAAUAAUAAUAAUAAUAAUAAUAAUAAUAAUAAUAAUAAUAAUAAUAAUAAUAAUAAUAAUAAUAAUAAUAAUAAUAAUAAUAAUAAUAAUAAUAAUAAUAAUAAUAAUAAUAAUAAUAAUAAUAAUAAUAAUAAUAAUAAUAAUAAUAAUAAUAAUAAUAAUAAUAAUAAUAAUAAUAAUAAUAAUAAUAAUAAUAAUAAUAAUAAUAAUAAUAAUAAUAAUAAUAAUAAUAAUAAUAAUAAUAAUAAUAAUAAUAAUAAUAAUAAUAAUAAUAAUAAUAAUAAUAAUAAUAAUAAUAAUAAUAAUAAUAAUAAUAAUAAUAAUAAUAAUAAUAAUAAUAAUAAUAAUAAUAAUAAUAAUAAUAAUAAUAAUAAUAAUAAUAAUAAUAAUAAUAAUAAUAAUAAUAAUAAUAAUAAUAAUAAUAAUAAUAAUAAUAAUAAUAAUAAUAAUAAUAAUAAUAAUAAUAAUAAUAAUAAUAAUAAUAAUAAUAAUAAUAAUAAUAAUAAUAAUAAUAAUAAUAAUAAUAAUAAUAAUAAUAAUAAUAAUAAUAAUAAUAAUAAUAAUAAUAAUAAUAAUAAUAAUAAUAAUAAUAAUAAUAAUAAUAAUAAUAAUAAUAAUAAUAAUAAUAAUAAUAAUAAUAAUAAUAAUAAUAAUAAUAAUAAUAAUAAUAAUAAUAAUAAUAAUAAUAAUAAUAAUAAUAAUAAUAAUAAUAAUAAUAAUAAUAAUAAUAAUAAUAAUAAUAAUAAUAAUAAUAAUAAUAAUAAUAAUAAUAAUAAUAAUAAUAAUAAUAAUAAUAAUAAUAAUAAUAAUAAUAAUAAUAAUAAUAAUAAUAAUAAUAAUAAUAAUAAUAAUAAUAAUAAUAAUAAUAAUAAUAAUAAUAAUAAUAAUAAUAAUAAUAAUAAUAAUAAUAAUAAUAAUAAUAAUAAUAAUAAUAAUAAUAAUAAUAAUAAUAAUAAUAAUAAUAAUAAUAAUAAUAAUAAUAAUAAUAAUAAUAAUAAUAAUAAUAAUAAUAAUAAUAAUAAUAAUAAUAAUAAUAAUAAUAAUAAUAAUAAUAAUAAUAAUAAUAAUAAUAAUAAUAAUAAUAAUAAUAAUAAUAAUAAUAAUAAUAAUAAUAAUAAUAAUAAUAAUAAUAAUAAUAAUAAUAAUAAUAAUAAUAAUAAUAAUAAUAAUAAUAAUAAUAAUAAUAAUAAUAAUAAUAAUAAUAAUAAUAAUAAUAAUAAUAAUAAUAAUAAUAAUAAUAAUAAUAAUAAUAAUAAUAAUAAUAAUAAUAAUAAUAAUAAUAAUAAUAAUAAUAAUAAUAAUAAUAAUAAUAAUAAUAAUAAUAAUAAUAAUAAUAAUAAUAAUAAUAAUAAUAAUAAUAAUAAUAAUAAUAAUAAUAAUAAUAAUAAUAAUAAUAAUAAUAAUAAUAAUAAUAAUAAUAAUAAUAAUAAUAAUAAUAAUAAUAAUAAUAAUAAUAAUAAUAAUAAUAAUAAUAAUAAUAAUAAUAAUAAUAAUAAUAAUAAUAAUAAUAAUAAUAAUAAUAAUAAUAAUAAUAAUAAUAAUAAUAAUAAUAAUAAUAAUAAUAAUAAUAAUAAUAAUAAUAAUAAUAGAGAAGAGAAAAAUUAGAUCUAGGGUUUCUUUCUUUUUCUCCAAUCCAAAAAUCCCCCCUUUUCACAAUAGAUUCCUCCCUUAAAUACUCUCUCUCUCUUCUCCUCUAGAAUUCUAUUUAAAAUAAAAUACUAACAUCUGAAAUAUUAAAUUCGUAAUUACAAAAAUAACCAAAAAUACAAAACACGUUAAACUAAAAACUGCAGGUCCGCAGUUGACAGCACGCGCCCACGCCUUAUCAACAAAGUUCUUCUGACGCUCAUAAUUUCUCCAAGAGAACAAUCAUCCUUAAACAUCAUCUUAUAGCUCAAUUUUAUCAUCAAUCAAUAGAAUUGCACCUACAAAAGUAAAACAUAAGUAAAUCACUAUUAUUAAGUGCAAAACAUUGAUAUUAAGGGAAGUAAAUAAUGCAAAACUAGUGCAUAAAUUGCACUCUAACAGUAAUCAGUAAUCAGCAUUAAAAAUUAAAUUAAAUUAAAUUUUUUUGUUUUUAAUAUUAUUUAGUUAUAGACUUAUUAUUAUAUUUAUUCGUUCAUAAAACUAAAUAAUGUUAAAUCAAAUAAAAUAAUCAGGAAUGGUUCUUAAAAAAUUAAUAUUAUUUAUUUUAUUUUAUUUAAUAUUAUUUAGUCAUAGCCUAUUAUUCUGUUUAUUUUUUGAAAAUUAAAUAAUAUUAAAUAAAAUAGAAUAGAAAAUGUGAGUCCUUAAAAAUAAAAAUUAUUUUUAAUAUUAUUUAUUUUAUUUAAAAGAAUAAAUUUUUUAAUAUUUUUAUUUUAUUAAAAAAUAUUAUUUAAUAUUAUCUAGUCAUAGGCUUAUUAUUAUAUUUCUUCUUUUAGAAAGUUAAAUAGUAUUAAAUGAAAUAAAAUUACAUUUUAGAAGGUCAUUAGCCAAAGCACAUAAACUUAUAAACAAAUGGAAAUAAAAAAGGUAAAUAAUAUUCAAUAAAAUAAAAUUACAUUUUAAAAGGUCACCAACCAAAGCACAUAAUAUUAUAACAAAAAUGUAAAUAAAAAAGAAAGUAAGAGAUUCAAUGAAAUUUAACAUCACAAAAGACAAUUUCAAAAAUUGGGGGUAGCUUGCAACUGUUGCAAAGUGGCUGGUUCCAUAAUUUUGAGAUAAUGUUUCGGUUUCAAAUAUUGUUAUCGAUACCUAAUUAUAAGUAAUAAAAAAAUAUUGUAUAAUUUUUUUACCAACAUUUACAAUACAUUUUAUUUUGAUUUCUGAAAAAAAUAGAUAAAACACAAAUUAAUUAUUUUAACCCUCUAUUCUCUCAAUAUUUAAACUCGAAUAAUCAGUUAAAAGUUGCUCGAGAAUGUUUAAAAGCCAUUUAAGUAUACCACGUCAUUCAUGUUUUGCAAUCAUUCAAUUGUUAAUAAGUUUCCCAUGUGCUGAAAAUAAAUAAAAAUGCACGUGCAUAUGUCAUAUUGUCUCCGAAACCUCACAGCGGAAUGAGUGUAGUACUUGCAAUGCAUGUACUUUAGACUUUGUAUUUCUCUUAUUUAAAUGAUCAAUAAUUUUUCUUUGUCCUUUAAUUAGACGUCAACAGUCGAAGUUGUGGGCAGGUAGUAGGCUAUAUAUAAUAAUUUCCUGGAGAUCUUCCGUCUUCUAAGACAUUGCAAAUGCCAAACGUGAUAACUAUUUUGAUAAUUCAAAUACUACAUAAAAUAUAUGAAGUGUCAGACAAGUCAAAAGAAUUGAUUCUUCACAAUUGUAUAUACGUAUACACACACUUUGCCCAAAUCCCAUUGUAUCCAGGCUGUAAUUUUUAUAUUAAACGAACAUAUUUUAUUUUAUGUCAGCAAUAUUGAUGCAGGCUGGGGGAACAACAGCUUCAGGAUGGUCAACUACCCUUCGGAUCAUUGCAAGUGGGAUGGCAUCACUUGCAAUUCAGAUGGAAGCAUAAUCAGGCUAAAAUUAUCAUGGUGUGAUGUUGACUUCAAAAGGUAAUCUUCGUAAAAUUAUCAUGGUAUAAUAUACGUAUUUAUUUUCGCAUACAUAAAUAAAUAACAAAAUUGUAAUUAAUUGGAUACAGCUUCAGCUUUUGGACUGGUUUGUGAAAAUCAGAAAAAUUUAAAAAUGCUCCUCUUGAACAAUCAAAAUCUACUUUAUACGUGAACAAAGGGGAUGAUUCGUAAAGAUAGUUCAUCAAUGUUUGAUUGCUUUCAAGCGUGUCGAUUACUUUCAGAAAGAAAGACUUCAUUUGAUCUCGUCACAAAACAUAAUUUCACUUUGAAUUUGAAAAAGAAUAAUGAAGUUCAUACAAGUGCUGUUAUGACCUUUUUUUUUUUGUUUUCUUUUUUUCUCGACGUUGUUUUGUGAAUCAUAAGGGUUAAUUUAAUACGGUGGGUUCGCUUGUAUGAAGCGCACUUAUUGUACCAUUCUGUUGCAAGCAAUGAAAAAACGCUAUAAUUUUUUUAAGUUUCUACAAGUAUUAUGUUAUCUUAUAUCUAAAUGUGCAUCUCUAGUCUUUGCUCUCAGUUCAGGUUCUCUAAAAGUAUAUUAAUUAUGAAAAGCAUUAAAGGUUCCGAAACUCUAUUUUGCGGGGAAAAAGAACCUCCAUUUUUGGUUUUUUAUUAUAUGAGAUUUUACUAUGCUCGUAAUAACUUAAUCGAAAUUAAACAUAUCACUGGUCUACAUUUUUUUAUAAGAUUUUGUGACUUGCUAAUUAAGAUGAGUAUCACCAUCAAAUCAACAAGCUUAUACCUUCAAAGAAAAAUAGACUAUAAGUCGGGAGAAAGAAGAAAAAAAAAAAAAAAAGAAUCUUCGCAAUUUAUGCUGUUGGUUGUGAGUUCAUGAAACAAAUAAAAAUAUGAAAUCAAACAUUUAUUCAAAAUUUAAAAUUAAAAAAAAAACUCUAUAUCUACAGUAAUCUGUUCAAACCACAUAGGUGGAGCAAUAUAGUUCCAAGACGUGGUUUUAAAACAUGUCUUUGUGAUAAACAAUAUCGUGAUACUUGCGCCAAUUCCCAUGGCAAUAAUUGCCUACAUUUAUCCAAGAUCCAUGGCCAGGUUUAGAAUGUGCUAGUCUUCUUUCACUUUCAUAAAUAACCACUACUAGGUAAUCAGAGUGUCGGUCUAAAUUUUUCGGAGAUACAACGUCAAUGUAUGUGCCCGGAGUUGAAGCUGAACGCGCUUAAAUAUGUUCGGAAUUUGAAGUUGAACGCCUGGAAAAGGAUGCAGACUGAAGAAAGGCAAUUCCUGGAAUUUGUCUUUGGUAAGAAAACAUGGCUGCUUAUGCCCUUUGAAAGACUGAAGAAACCAAAUUGAUUAUUGCUGCAAUUUAGUGGCACAUGUACGAGGAGAGGCAUCCAAUUAAACUUGUUCAUAAAAGUAUUGCUGAUAGUUGCAGCCGAUCUCCAGACAAAAUCUUCGUACAAUUUUAUCCGCCAGCAAUUUCGACCAAGAGACCUUGAUGCAGUUCAGACCAAUUCGCCAGUUGAACAUCAAGUUGCCUAGGCAUUGAGAAUUAGGUCAAUAAAAUAUAUCCUGGGUCACUUACAAAAGAUGAAAUAAGUGAAAAAGGAAAGAUGACGUAAUAAUUUCUUAGUGAGAAAAGUUAGUUAAUUUGCAAAGGUCUUAGAUAAUCAAUUUGAUGUAAAAAUAUCAAAAUUUUUUUUAAUCAGUGAAAUAUUCAACCUCUAGUUUCAGCACUACAAAUGAAUUAAAUAGAAUAAUGAUAGAUAUUUUAAAAUUUUAUCCCAAAUGAUGUGAUAUGUAAUGUAUCAUUCAUUAAGUAGUUGAUGAUUUUUUUAUAAAUUUUAAGUGGAUUAAUUAUAUUAUUUUACCAACGAGUAAAUAAAUGUCACAUCAUUAGAGAAGAAAUUUUAAGGUAAAACUUUUCAAAUAUAUAUCACUACUCCAUUAAAUAUGGUAUAAAAAAUCUAAUAGGGACCAAAAAUAUAAAAACCCAUUAAAAAUAAAAAAUAUAAAAGUCAAUUCCUAAUUAGAAGAAUGAAAGUUUGUUUCUCCUACAAUCAUUUCACUAGAUUUUAAAUAAAUUAAUUAAUGAAAAUUUUUAAUAACAAAUCGGUGCCUAAACCUAACGUCUUUUUUUUUUUGGUCUUAUCCACGAGGUAUCCUGGGGAGGGCCCCAACUGUGGGAGGCACCUUUAAGCCCGUACCACAACCCAGACUAGAAGUCCCCGCUCGAACCGGGAGGCACAGGUUCUCCCAACAAAGGCGACUUCCCCGCGACUCGAACUGGGGAGCAAACCCAGUCAAGCCACUUAAGGGGACUCCAUUGCCAGUGGAGCCAACACUUUGUUGGUUAAACCUAACGUCUUUGACAGUGCUGCCAAUAUCACUCACAACUUACAAGAAAAUUUUGGUAUUAAAUUUAUUAAUGUUCUCAAGGAAUUUUUAGUUUGACUUUGCAUUCUCAGACCCAUUUGUCACAUAACACGUUAGCAAAGACCUUUAAUGAGAAUAUUAAAACAGCUGUCGAAUAAGCAUCUUGACGACGACUUUUUGACAUAUAUGCAUGCCUCCUUUUGUGAACAAAUUUGAAACAUAAAAGAAAAUUUUGAUCCAUGUGAGAGCUGGAGUAUUUUAUAGCUUUUGACCUCAUUAAUUAUGAGUAAGGGAAUAUUUCUACGUCACUAACGAUUAACAUGAUCACUAUAUAAAGGGAAGCAAAGUAUGUUUAGCAUCAAGUCAGAAAACACAAUUUUUAGGAAAUGGGAACUCUAGGACAGGCGAAGCAAUGGCCUCAAUUGGUUUGUGCUAUGGCAUUUUUGCUCAUAGCCACCACAACCGCAAAGGCAUCAGCUGAUGAUUAUGGCCCAGCACCAUCACCAAAGCAUGCAAAGCACCCUCCAAGCCAUUACAAGCCACCGAAACCACCAAAGCACCACGAGUCACCACCACCAUACUACUAUAACUCACCACCUCCACCAGUACAUUCUCCUCCACCACCUUAUUACUAUAAGUCUCCACCACCACCUUCUCUAUCUCCACCACCUCCUUACUAUUAUAAAUCACCACCACCACCGAAACAUUCUCCUCCACCUCCUUACUACUACAAAUCACCACCUCCUCCUUCUCCCUCUCCACCUCCACCAUAUUAUUACAAGUCUCCCCCACCACCAUCUCCAUCUCCCCCACCGCCUUACUACUAUAAAUCCCCACCACCACCAAAAUAUUCUCCUCCACCACCUUACUACUAUAAGUCACCACCUCCACCAGUGAAAUCUCCACCUCCGCCAUAUUACUAUAAAUCACCACCACCACCAAAACAUUCUCCCCCACCACCUUACUACUACAAGUCACCACCACCACCAAUGCAUUCUCCCCCACCACCUUACUAUUACAAAUCUCCACCACCACCAAAGCAUUCUCCUCCACCACCACCUUAUUACAAAUCACCACCCCCACCACCACCAAAACAUUCUCCCCCACCACCUUACUACUAUAAAUCUCCACCGCCACCAAAACAUUCUCCUCCUCCACCAUACUACUAUAAGUCACCACCUCCACCUGUAAAGUCUCCACCUCCACCACCUCACUACAAAUCACCACCACCACCAAAACAGUCUCCUCCACCACCUUAUUACUACAAGUCACCACCCCCACCAGUAAAGUCUCCACCACAGCCACCAAAGCAUUCUCCCCCGCCACCUUACUAUUACAAAUCACCACCUCCACCAAUGAAGUCUCCACCACCGCCACCUUACUAUAAAUCACCACCACCACCAAAUUCUCCCCCUCCACCUUACUAUUACAAAUCACCACCACCACCAAAGCAUUCCCCCCCGCCACCUUAUUACUAUAGAUCUCCACCACCACCAAAGUAUUCUCCCCCACCACCUUACUACUAUAAGUCACCACCUCCACCAAAGCAUUCUCCCCCGCCUCCUUACUAUUACAAAUCUCCACCACCACCUUACUAAUACAAAUCUCCACCACCACCAUCUCUAUCCCCACCUCCAUCUUCCAUUUACACCGCCACCAUCUACAUCACCUCCACCACCAUCUCCAUCAUUGUCACUAUUGCCUUCCGACUACUCCAUGUGAUCACCACCUCCCGAAGACUUCUAAGUUCAAUGUCCCUUCUUGAAACAAGUUU